GAGUUACAAUGUUAUCUUUGGGGUUGUUUAUAGUGUCGAUAUGUAGUUGCCGUGCUUGUAUGUUAGGUGCCCAAAAUGUGGGUUGUGUCUUGGUUCGGCAGCUUCUAAUCUUCUGAACAAUACAGUUCUCAGUAUACGUGAUAUUUUACCUGGUAUAUGUGCUCAUUGCAAAAGAGCUGUUUGUUUUUUUCGUAGUUUUUUGGGAUCAAGGGCCGAUGCCUAAUGCGUUUUCACGUGUCAUUCCUGGUUAUGUCGUUCCUCUUAGUCACUGGUCCUGUGGGAUUUAUGUCCUGCAGCGUGUUUAAAUCCCAACCGGUGUAGAAAGUGCUUUAUGGUUCUCCUCACGGAUCAUGAAGUUUAAAGAAGUGUUACGAUCUUUUUCAAACCUCGCCCAUAACAGCGCAUCUGCUAGUAUCCCAUUCUGCCACACCUCAUUUGUAUUUAAUUUUCGCUUAAAAGUUUAGUUGAUAGCAGACUUUACACUUUUGCUGUGAUGACAUCACAAUGGAAGCUUUACAAGUAUCAUGAUUCUAAACUUCUGAUUCCUAACUUUUGUGCUUGUCAGGACCUAUUUACAGUAUUGAUUUUUUUGUUCAAAUGAGGUUAGUUUGCUGAAAUUUUACCCACUUUACCCUCUAAAUUACCAACACUUACAGCUUCGCAAACUGGCCUCAUUUUGACAGAAAAUUACACUAUAUAUGAGCACUAGCAGCCGCUGAGGUUAGGACUCAGAAGUAAAAAAUUAUGAUACUUGUGCAGAGUGUGUUGUGUGGGCACUGUAGUUUAUCAAUGCUUUCUAUCCUGUUUGGGAAUAUGGUUGAGCAAGUAAAAUAUGAUAAUAACAAUCUUAUAUAAUACCAGAAAAAGAAGAAGUUAACUUUAUAAUAUUUAGACUUUCUUUAAUAAUUAUUUUUUUUUUUAAUUUUUUUUUUGAUUUUUUUCUUGAGACAUUAAAAUAUAUACAAGUUAAAAACUAACCCAUAAUAAUUAAGGUUCUGUUAAGAUUUUAUGAUAAUAAUAGUUUGUGCAAAAUUAAAUGAAAAUAAAAACACAUAUAUAAUGAACCUUCAAGGAAAUAUAUAAAAAUCUACAUACAAAAUACAAAAAAAGAACAUACAUAAAUUUUGUUUAUCAUAAACACUUUCUUACACAAAAGCAAUUAUUGUGAAUACAUGAUAACUAUGAAGUUAAAACUAAUAAAAUCCUAAAACAUUAUCCUAAAAGAUUGUUGAUUAGACCAAAGCUUCUUUCAAUCACACAUUUAUUCAUAUGAAUUAUGAACAAUAAAAUAUUACAUCAAUUCUAUUUUUUGUAAUAAUAACAUGGUUUUAAAAGAAGCUAGGAAUACCACAUGUUCUUUCCAAAUAGAUAAUUUAAACAUAUAGAGAGAAACUUUUAAAUAUUGGAAUCAAUUGUCAUAUCUAUCAUUAUGACCAAAUCCUACUAUUGAGACAAUGUCAUCAAACACCAUGUUGUAUUACAAAUAUAAUUAAUGAUAAAAAUUUGUCAAAGUUAAGCUGAUAAGUUUAGUUAGAAUUAAUCUCCCACUUAUGUUAAAUUUAUAAGGUUGAUGACUUAAAUAAUGACUUUUUUAAUCUAGAUAAUGAAGUGUCAGCUUUUAUCUUUUCAUAAUAUCAAAGUAAUAGUAGUACUUUGGAUCUUGUCAAGUUUAAUUUUUACGAGAACAAAAAAUUAAUAGGAACUAGAAACUAUCCUAUCUAGUACUUUAUAAUUUGUCAAAUCCUACAAGCUAAUAAUAUUUGGAACAUCUACAUUAUUAAGAAGGUUGUUGUUGGUCCAAAAAAGUACAAAGCUUCUUGCUUUGGAGAUUUUUCUUGCUCAUGUAUGUUUUUAACUUGACAAAACAAUUACACUCUAAGUCUCAUAACCAUAGCUUUUAUAGACACCAAGUUUUGACCCCUUAAGUUAUUGCCUUUGACUUGCAAACAUGUUGGACCUUCUUUGCUUUAGCACAUUGUUUCUCCUUGACUUCGUUAGUUUUUGCUCUUAAACUUUCAACACAAGUAGAUAAACUUGUCUUAAAGACUAUUCCAAAAGUUUGCUCUAAUCAAAGAUUCCAAUUAGUCAUAAUAGAUCCUAUUUUAAGACCCAAAGCUGCCUAUUUUAUUAGUCAAAACAAAAGAUAUAACAAUAAUGUCUUUUGAGCAUCUCUUCACUCUCUUAAGUUACAUUGAUACCUCAAAAAUAUUACUAAGAGGUCUCCAAGAUGUCUUCAAGUUAAAAAUCCAUUAUAUGCGAUCUAUCUUAUCCUUAUCCUAAUGCUCACUAUCAACCUUUUUUCUUAUCAAUGUAAUGGCUAGUCUUCUACUAACAAACAAAAAAGUACAUAAAUUAAAACAAGGAAAUGAACUAAAAUAAUACUCUAUUAAUAUCAAUCUAAUUGUAUAUUUAAGGUAUGCACAAUAUACAUGAAUAUCUAUUGUUUAACUAUUAAACAACCCACAUCACAAUAAUCCACAUAUUGCAUCAUUAACUGAUUAAUCUUUUGGGAGAUCUAUUGGAUUCAACUCCACAACUAAUAGAGCUUCUUUUAAUCUUGUUGUUGUAGCUGUUGUCAUUGCAAUUGUUGUAAUCAUUGCCACCAAUGUACAAACAAUACCAAUAAAAAAAGAACAUAGUGGUUAUAAUUAUUACUACUACUAUUUCUAAGAAGAUAGUUAUUGUCAAAUGGUUUAAAGCCAAUUCAUUUGCUAUCUUCUUCAAGCUCAAAAAACAAAUUAAAGUCUUCAGCAACAAAAAUGAAAAUUAACAUUUGGAAUGAAUUUCUUUUUUUUUCAUAAUGACAAGAUGCAUGAUUAUAGAAGAAUACUUGCUCCAAGUCAAAGAAAUUGUCACCAAGCCAGCAAAUAUUGGUGCAGAUGUUUAAAAUAGCUUCCUUAUAUUCAUUAUUUUUAAUGGUCUUCUAUCCAAUUAGAUAUUAUUUAAGGCCAAAUACAAUACUAUCAUGAAGAGCAAGCCUAGCUAAAUAUACUUGGAUUUUGAAGAAUUUGCUCAAGCAAUACAUCUUUAGUAGAAAUCAAACUAACAAAAGCGACAUUGAUUUUAUUAAUCAAAUAUAAACUACAUGUGAUCUCUUUUUUUUGUAAUAAGCCUAAACAAUCAACAUAAAUAACCAUAAUAUGAUACUGUGGUUCAUCUAUUGUUUUUUAAUGCUUACAUUAUAAUUGUUGCUACUACAAUUAAAUUAAUCAUUAAAUUAAAAAAAAAACUAUUCUAUUAUUCUCUAUAUUAACAAUUUAUUUUUUAUAUUGGUAAAAAUGCCAUCUACAUCUAUUUCAUCAAAACUUAGAUGUUUCUCAAGUAUAAAAUGAAUGAACAUGGCAUAAUCUCUUUUUACCUUAGAGUAGGAUUUCAGUUCUUUGCUUUAGACAUCAUGAUACACCAAAAAUUGUAUGUGCAUCAAAUUUUACUUAAUACUGAUAUGAUUGAUUGCAAGCUUACUUUGACUCUACUUUUAGAAGGUUUCUUUCUUUCUACUAUGACUAAGAUGUUAAAUAUCAAUUAAAGCAUAUAUUAUUAUAGAAUUAACUAUCUCCACUACUUAGUGAAUACUUGAUCCAAUCUAAUCUAUUGAAUGGACUUUAUUAAUUGCUUCAUGACUCAUCUCUAAGAAACUUGCUUGACUAUAUUUUUUGAUACAUCAAUGCUCAAUAUCCUUUAGUAAAUACUCAAUACAUUAAUAGUCAAUACAUCAGUGCAACAUACUCUUUGAUACAUUCAAUGCUUCAUUAACUUUGGAAUUGUGUAUUCUAAAGAAGCAAAAAUUUACUUACACAGAUUCUUAUAUCCAAAAGCUACUCCAAUGUUGAUUGGAGUGCUUGCAAAGAUACUUGCCAAAUUAUCAAUGGUUUUUAUUUUAUUUAUUUAAAAAAAUCUUCUUUGGCAGUAUAAUCUCUUAGGUUAAUAAAAAAAAUUAAUUUUUUGUCUAUGAACUAUUAAAAAUGAAUAUUGAGCCCUUGCCAAUAGUGCUUGCAAAAUAAUUCACUUCAAAUAACUUCUUACCAAUUUAUUAUUACUUCUUUCUACUUCCAUCUUAAUUAAUUAAUUUGACUUCCUAGUCUAUUCUAUCAUUUCUUUUACUUCUUAUCUAUCUUUUUAAAACUACAUAUGAAUAAUAAUAAUAACUUGUAUGUAAAUUUUUUUUUUGUAAUUUAUAUUGAUAUUAGAUAAAAAUAUAAUUUAUAUAUUAUUGAAGAAGAUGUAACCAAAAAGAUUGCAACUCCUUAGUAGGAUGCAACUUUUAUAAUAGAUUGUUUAUAGUGUAUAGUUUGGUUAUUUAAACUUUAUAUUCUAAUAUGCUUGCUUAAUUAAAUUAUAGUAAGGGUAGCAUUUUUCUUCUAAGUAAGUCUAAUAUGAAGAGAUACUAUAUAAGCUUUGGCUUCAAAAGUGGUUUGAUAAAAAAAAAUCAACAUACAUCUCAAUGAUUGAAUAAUAGUAAAAUUAGACUUUUUGAGCAGUAACAAGUUAUUGAAUAAAAUGGUACCAAAUCAUGAUAUGCUUGGUUUGCAAAUGUAAUUUGGUUAUAUCAAUAAGGAUGAGGGCACAUUGAUUGUUGUCAUAAAUGAUCAUCGAUAUUUUUAGGAUUUUGAGUUGAAGCAAAUCAUAAAGCAAAUACCACAACAAGACUAUCUUAGAGGCCAUUAUGGCUAUAGGCAUUUACUUAGCCAUAGUGCUCAAGAAUGCUAUAGAUCUUUGAUGGGAUGUAUUCUAAUUAAUGAUAAUCUAUGAUAAAACAAAACAAUAUUUGGAUGUUGACAUUCUUUUGUCAAUCUCAUUAAUUUAAUUAGAGUCAUUGAAUCUAUAUAAUAUAUGCAAUAUGAGAGAACUGUAGUGGUAUUCUAAGCAUAAACCAAGUGAAUUAUAAAAUCCAAUUGUGAGUGAAAUCUCAUGUAAUUUAGAGGCUUAAAAUGUGAUAAUUUUUUCUUUAAUUAGAAAAUAAAAAUUAAGAAUGAAUUUUUUGCUUAAUUAUUUGAAAAAAAGCUAGAUUGCUGCUAGCAAUGAGGGUGUCAUUGACUUAAAAUAUUAAUAUGGAAAAAUUUAGAUUACAAUUGAUAUAAUAAAUAUUUCUAUUGGUAAUUGAAUUGAACAAACCAAGGGUAGUUAAAAAUAUAUUGAUUAUCUUAAAUCACUUGCAGAGAGGUUAUUUUCAGCCAUAUAUUAUUUUUUAAAGUUGACAUAUCAUACUAGGACAAAGAAAAGAAAUUCCUUUUGGAAUCUACAUAUAAAUUUCUUCUCGAAAGAAUCUUUUAAGAUAAACAAUUUUGACGUCUAUUUGGAAGACAUGAAAAUCAAGUUGAAUGGCUAGGAUAAAGAUCAAUCAUAUAGAUUAAUUACAAACCAUCAAAGAAAAUAUUUCAUUAUAAUUAAGGCUUAAUUGAAAGUACAAGAAAUAAAGGAAGCUUUGAAUUUGUUGACUAUGCUUGUGCUUUUGAGCUUAAUCUUAAAAAUCUAUUUACACAUCAAAGGAUAUUAAUGAAGAGGUAAAUCUAUGAAGAUCUAUGUUUAAUGAGCUACAUAGAAAUUUAAUCUAUUAGUAAUAACUUAUUGCCAUUAUGAAGCUUUUAGAUACAUAACAGCUUAGGUAUACAAUAUUAAUUAGAAGAGAAUCUUUGCAAUAGUGAAGAAGACUUAUUUUAGAUGCAUCAAGCAAUUGGAUUUUUUAUGAAAAAAAGAAAGAAAGUAAGUGUUAUAAUUCUUUGGUAGAUCUUAGAGAAGUAGAACAUCUUUUGUAGUUUGAGUUGAUUAGCAAGAGAGAAAAUAGGUGAUAAAAAGAGUGAUUUUAGAAAGAGAAUUGAAGAAAAUGGUAUGGAUAGGUGUCGAGAUUGAAAAUAGUGAUCCCAAUGGAAGAUCAAUUCUAAUCCAGAGACAUGAUCUAGGUAUUGGUAGAGUGUGGAAAGAAAAUUGAGGUAGCACAAACUUUUUAUGUAUGAUAUUAGAGAUGCCAAAAAAGACAUGGUAAAGGUAAUGUUAGAUGAAUUGGAAAAUUGAUCUGGAUAAUAAAAGUUAAGAAAUGAUGUGGCCACUCUGGAGCCAGAUUGUCAAUAGAAAUCUUUGCAAGCCAUGAUGAUUUUACUAGAAGUAUAUCAAGUAGGGCAUGUAAGAUAUCAAGGUCACUUAAUUAUGGCAAUAAAGCCAAGAUGGGUACUUUUGUUAAUAAAAGAAGAUUCUAUGAUUGAUAAAAAAGAGUAUAGAAUUGAACAGUGAGAGUAUUGAUGAUUGUAGGAGGUGAGGCCACUAAAAGUUGAAAAAUAGGAUUCUUCUUAAAAUAUAAUAUUUUAAAAAAUAAGCAUUGUAUCAUUGGAAUUAUUUUAUAAUUUUUAUUUCUUACUCUUGGAACUAUAGCUAAAAGAAAUGUACUUAUAUAAGUAAUUAUUAAGUUUUACUUAUAGUACAUUAAAUAUUUUUGCAAAAUAUUUGAUAUUAAAAAUGCAAAGAUGGAUGAAAUCCGCCUUAUCUUUGUGCCAAAGUUCAAAGGAAGUAGUGUCCCUUGAGAUUGUAUUGGUCGAAUAUCUAUUUUAAAGAUAUAUAGUACAAGUGUCAACUUCCAUCCAAUAAGGUUUGAAUAAUUAAGCUUUGUGAACUAUGUACAAGACAACAUUAAAAAAAGUUAUAUUUUUUUCUUUGUCAAUACUAUUUUGACAUGGCAUAUACAUUGUAGUUAGUUGAUGCUAGAUGCUAUGAAUAUUCAAAUAGUACUUGAAUUCCAAGAAGAGACAUUCUCCUCCUUGAUCCGUGAGGAAGGUAUAUAGCUUGUAUUUAGUUUGGUUUUUAGUCCAUGAGUGAAAUAUUUUAAAUACCUCAAAUUAUUUGCUUUUAUGGCAAAAGUAACAAAAAAUGGUAUAAUAAGAAUAGUCAUCAAUAAAAAUAACAUAAUACCUAAAUCUUGAAAAUAUAUAAAGAAAAAUAAUUUUACUAAUAUUUUAAUAAAUUAAAUCAAAGAAAUACAUGAUCCAAAAUUUAAUUAUUUAAAAAAAAAAAAUUAUAGCCAAUUAUUUGCCAUGUAAGCAUGUAGAGCAUAUUUAUUAGAAAACCUUCUUAAGAAGUAAUCUUAUAACAACUUCACUUUGAGCAAGUUGUUUGAAGUAGUUUUUGCUUAUAUGACUAAAUCUUCUAUGCCAUAAUUGAGAAGUUUUAGUAAAAUUGAUAGAAGGAGUAAUAUACCAAAUUUUAGAAGAAUUUAUAAUAAAAUAAGCUUAUUUUAGGUACUUGUUAGAUUGAUAGCCAAGAAUCAUCAUGUCAUAUAUGGAAUAAAGAUAAUAUUAGCUGGAAUUAAGGUAGUUUCUAUAUUUGGUAUGGACAGAAAAAAUCAUGUAUAAGGCAUUGUACAUAGCCAAAAACAUAGAAGAAGUGAGAUGCUGCUAGGCAGACUAAAUCAAUGGUGAGCUUUGAUGGGCGCAUAGUAGUGAUAGUUGGUUAGAGUUGUCAUAAUAGUGAGGCUAAAAUAAUGACCAUCAAUGGACCAAUUGGUGGUUAGUCAAGUUGGGCAACUAAUGAUAGAUAACAAUAAGACUCGGCCACUAUUGAAAUGAUUCAAACAAGAGUGCUAAAAUGAAGGAUUUAUUAAGGAAAAAAUUUUGGAUGGAUACAAGAGCCUCUAUUUGAGUUGUGGUGAAUUGUCUAAGAUAAUAGAGUGGCAUUGUAGUAGAAAUAGUUGUAUGUAGAAAAAACUAAAAAAUAAGAAUUAUUGCCUUUUUGGCAAUGGACAUCAUGAUUUUCAAUUGAGUAGAAUUUUCAAUGCUAGUGAGGUUGGCUUGGGUGGAUGGAUUUCAUGUGAUACUAAAAAUAAAUAAUUUUUCAUAAAGUAGACAUAUUACUAUAGUAGUGUUAUUUUUGUUGAGAAGAUGGCAUGUCUAAUUUUUGAUUAAAAUUUCUAAUCUUUGUUGAUCAUAAUUGCUUAAUGAGAAUAAAUUCUUAUAUAAGUUAGAGACAUACAAUGUAUUUGUAAAACAAAUUGUAUAACUAUUGACCAUGGAGAUUUCUACUAUUCCUUGAUUAUAAAUGGAUAGUAUGGUAUUAUUGUCGAGGUGGACUUUGUUCUUACAUAAUGAGAAUAAUUCAAAGUUUAUAAAUUCUUAUUUGUUAUGGGCCAAUUGAUGUGUGGUGUUUACAUCAAUAAACUAUUAUUCAUCCUUUAUAAUACCAUAUUGAGAAGAUUUUUUAGAGUAGAAUGUUUAUAUGAGAUAUACAUAGGCAUAAAAUAUAGGAGGUAUUUCUUUUAUAUUUUUUGACUUCUAUAUUUGCUUAUUCUUCUUCUUAUUGUAUGUGGAUGCUAUAGAAUUUGUAGUAGCUUUUGUUUUGUUUUGUUUUUAUUUUUUAUUUAUUUAUUUAUUUAUUUUAUUUUUUUUUUGUUUUUUUUUUGUAGCAAUCAAAUUCCUAAUAUCCUAUUUUCUUGCAAUGUAGUUAUGAAGUUGUUAGUUACAAUUUUACUCUUGGAUUCUUAUAGUUUUUUAUAGGAUGUUUUAUAGGUAGUUGUAGUUACUACUUGCUCUUGCCUUUGCAUCCAACAAAGAGUGCUUGUGGUUCCAAAGAGGAGCCUUUCAUGAUGGUCUCCUCUUGAGCACCAUAUAUCAUUUUUUCUUUUUUAAUUUUGGUGGUACAUAAGGUUUGUAUAACAAUAACAUAUUGAAAUAGCAUAGAUCACAUAAGAGUGAAUAUUUCUAUUUGUAGUGGAAUUAUUAUUCCAAUGAAGUGACACUAUUAGAGCAAAGUUUUAAAGUUGUGUAAAUAUUAUGUGACCAAUUUGUUAGUUUGCAAUUUUUUGUAUAAUAAAUUUUUCUUGUAAAUGUGCUUGAGUAAUAAUGUAUUAGGCAAAAUCUGUAUUUUUUAGAGCUAACCAUGCUUCAUAGGCAAUUUUGCAUGCUCUAAUAUGUGAAAAGAUGGUAUUACCUUUGUAUUUCCAAAUGGCAAUAAGAAUAAUAUGGUCUGUUUUUUUUUUCCAUGUAGGUAUUGCAACUUCAUUUGUUGGAGAUAUUAGUGUUGUCUCAAUCGUUUUUGGAAUGGAUAUUGAUUCUUUCUCUUUAUCAAAAAUGAGCUUCUACUUUUCUUCAAUUUCAAACUUCAUUUGAUUUUUUGUUUCUAUACAAUAUACCAAGAGCCAGGCCAAUCUUUGGUAGUUAUGCUAUUUUUAACAAUUUGUUUUAUUUUUUGAGAAGGAGGUUUAUUGGUGCCCCAGUUUUUGUGAAGAACAUCUUCAAUACAACCUCUUCUUUUUUUCAAUGUUUUUUGUUACUUCUUUUCUGGAAUUUUUAAGUUUUCAAAAAAUACUCUCUGAUGCCAUACUAGAACUACAUAUGAGCAAUAGCAAUAAAUUGUGUGUAACUAUUUUGUUGUAAAUCAUAUUGAAAGUACAAUGUAUAUGCUGCCGAGAUUGUCUACAGUCUACGAUUUGGUUAUUCUAACUUUGUACUCCAAUACCUCUGCCCUUAAUACUCAUCUUCCACGCCCGCUCAUAGCACAUCAAACUUCACCACUACUUCAUCCAAGCUUAAGUGCUAGAGACGAACAUUUCCAUUUUUCAACUCAAUUCUAAACUCCAAACUGGGGUUAUCAUGACCAAGUCUCUUGGCCGAAAUCUUUUAAAAAACACUGCCUGUGAGUAGAGGUCAGGUCCCUUGCACACAUUCCACAAAGUUGCAAUCAUCCAGGCAUUCCAUUACUUGCACGGUUGUCUCUUCAAGCACUCUACUUAAUACCAGAUUGAAGGGGAAGGUGGGGGGGGGGGGGGAUGUGUGUUGGAAUUUAUUCUUAUAUCUGUGGAUUGUCAUGAGUAUUUUUGGAAUGAGACGGCUGCAGAGACUUGCCAUUGCCGGUGUUGAGAGCUGCAAGUCUUCUUCAUCGGCUUUAGUCCUGUGUGAUGUUGUCAGAAGCGUUACACGACUUUAUCACCCGGUCACGUCGACUUUCCAAACCUCCAACGCAGGCUUUUUCGUGCGGAUUUCAUUUGUGGCGACCUGAUCCGAUGCGGCGGUAGAAAGUUGCUCAGAACAGCAUUUGCUCUGCGCGACAAUCUCUCGCAGUGGGGUGGAUUCUUCCUGGGAGACGCAUUUUCUACUUUUCCAGCGCAUGCUGGUAGUCCAUCUUGCACAUGCUGAUUCAACAAGCGCGAUGAAACCUGGCAGGGAUUGCACCGAAAGGUAUAUCAUCAAACUCAUACUCAGACUUUGUGACGCCAUAAAGCGAACACGAGCCCAAAUACUUAUAUAAAUAAGGUAUGAAUCGAUACGGUGAGUUGCAGGUGAUCAACAUCGAGGAUGUCGUUGCGAACCAUUUCUGACGCUGCUCGGAUGACGACGACUGACGUCGAGUUCCUCAGUGGAACCACCGCAGCAAUUGCACCAACGACGACGUCGUGAAUGAUGCGACGGAGUAUCCAACUGGGUAGCAUCCUAGGCAAUACAAAUCUGAGACUGAUCAUGCUUCGUUGCGUAUCUGCUCGCAAGCUGCACGCGGUAUCGCAUAUAACUGGAUUCGUCUUCUGGAUUCAUGUAUUUGGAUCUUGACCUCUUCCAAUGCAACACUGGUGCUCCGAAUACGUCGAUGCUUGACAUGCGACAGCCGCUCUGUGGAUAUGGGCAUGCCACUUAAGCAAGUACGUGUCUCACAAUGGUUAAUGUCCUUUUUUGUAUUAAUGUUGGAGGGCAUUGGACAUUCAAAUUUGAAUAAGCAUGCAAGUGGAUUAUAGUGAAUUUAAAAUGUUUAAAAGAAAAGAUUGGUUCAAUGAAUAGUGUGAUUGAAAGCAAAAUAAAGAUUACAACUGAGUUUUUUGUUUGUUUUUAUGAUGAUUUGAUAAUUUUUGCAUUAUUUAUUUUAUCACAAUAUUCAUGAGAUUUGUCAUCAAACAAAUUAUUAUAUAUAUAUAUAUAUAUAUAUAUAUAUAUACACACACCUAAUUAUUAAUUUUAUAAUCAUCAAACUUUGUUGGUGUAUGUAGAAUUUGAUCUUUGAAAAUUCUUAACUUAUAUAUAGCUAGCGUGCAAAUGAUUUUACUUUUUUUUUUUUUUUUUUUUAUAAUUUUCAUAAUAUUGUCAUUGCCAAUGUAUUCAUAUUAUAAAUCAAAUAGCUCAUAAGAGAGAUGAGUUGGCAAAACAACAUUGGAACAACUCCUAAUAACAUAUUGUAGCAAGUUUUAGUGUCACCUUGCAAAAUCUCUAUAAAUAAAAUUUGUUAAGGUAGGCCGUUUUCUUAUUUUAUAAUUUAAUAAUUUAUUCAAGAAUGAUUCUUUUUACUACAUUACCAUACAAACUCGUACCUUCCCAAAGUAGAAGUUCACCUACUUCCGCGUGGUCAACUUCUCUAUAGGGCAGCGCUACGAAAUUUCGUUCAGGGGGACGGGAAAAUUUUCUGGCCUCUCAAUCACUGGCUUUUGUGCAUAAAAGCAGGAAUCGGAAGCCAAAGAGCAACAAGAAUGCAUAAGUUUAUGUAUAUAUAUAUAUAUAUAUAUAUAUAGAUAUACAUGCAUGAUUGUUUAUAAAAGUGUACAAAUGUGCAUGUCAAUCUAGUGGGUCUAUCUGCGUGAGUCGGGUACCAAUCCCCGAGAAUCGGCGAUAACUUGCAUACAUGUGGAUUGCCUUCUACAAUAGAGGCAAGCAUCGAUCACUGUUGCGAAUCCUCAAGUUGCAAGUGGACAUACCACAUGCCGCCUCCUUGAUCUGCCAGAUGCUUACCAGCUAGUCUCGAGGUCGUGAUUCAUAUUUGCCUGAUUGAGUAGGUUUGACAGUAUAUUGAGCUGCGAGCUUCCAGUUCGACGACAACGACGACAACAACGUCGACUUCCCCCAGUGCCGAAGGAUUUAUUGGCCGACACUAGGUUUAGAAACAAUCUAUAGAAGCUCCCGAAGUAGGUCCGUGAUCCAGUUGUUUUCGAUUGUGUGUCGUCUGAACCGCUUUCGACUGAACGUCCAUCAAUUCCAGAAACGAGCCUCUGGUUGCCUAUUCGAAGUUUUUGAUCUCGAGGAUUCUCACAGAGAAGGCCCUCAGGCUCUGUUGUACAGGGCUGGUGCAUGUUCAUUGUUAACAAUGCCUACCGACAACGAGUUCAGGGAUACGCACGAACCACCACCAGCCCCGAUUCUUGCCAGGGAUGAAUUUAAUGAGUGGUCGUUCUAUAGAGCGAUUAUCGCGGAAUUUAUCGCGACGUUGCUCUUCCUAUACGUCAGUCUCACCACUCUGAUGGGAACCACCAGGAUCUUCGGGGGAAGCGUUGGCCUUAUUGAAACCGCCUGGGCAUUCGGAGGUAUGAUCUUCAUUUUGGUCUACUGCACUGCGGGGAUCUCAGGUGAGUACCAACUCAAAGAUACGACUCUAUUGAUUUGGCAUGCUGUGAAAUCCAUCCAAAUUAAAUUAUUUAUUUAGUUAUGGGUGUUUGUCCGUUUGUUUUUCUGUGAAUUUAAUUUCGUGAGUGAUUUUCAGGUGGGCACAUCAAUCCAGCUGUGACGUUUGGUCUGUUCCUCGCACAACAAGUGACACUGCCGAGAGCUUCAGCCUACAUUGUGGCGCAGUGCUUGGGAGCCAUAGUUGGCGCUGCUAUUGCAAGAGGUGUUCAAGAAGGCGGAGAAUACCGCAGCUUUGCCAGCAACGCCGUGAACGGAGUGCAGCCUGGUUAUAACAUCGGCCAAGCUCUGGCUGCCGAGAUAAUGGGCACGUUUGUGCUCCUCUACACCGUGCUGUCCGCGACGGACCCAACGCGUAAAGCUCGAGAUUCUCAUGUUCCUGUAGGAAUCGAUUCAGACUUGCCUUGCCCUUCUCUUUUUACCUCAGACGUCAGCAUUAGGCAAAUAAUUGUUAUUAAUUGGUUGUUCGUCUUUUCCCAACUCGAUCAACUUUCUCACUUGUGUAGAACCACCAGGGUUUAAGUUCGGUGGAAUUAGAUCUUGUUGUUCACUGUUGAUGGUUAAAAUGCAGAUGUUCAUUUUUUGAAGCCGUUGCGAGAUGCAGGUAUUGGCUCCACUGCCAAUUGGCUUUGCAAUUUUUGUGGUCCACCUUGCAACCAUCCCGAUUACUGGAACAGGUAUCAAUCCAGCUCGAAGCUUAGGCGCGGCAGUUGCCAAGAAGUACUGACAAAUGGCAGCACCAUGUAAGUCUAGCUCGAAUCUCCUCUUACAGUCCCUUCCAUGCUUCUGGCUAUUUUUCAAGCUAAAUGUCUAUUAUUAGACGUAUUACGCCGGCGAUCUCAUUGAGCCAGGAAUGGAUUGGCUCACUAAAAAGCUUUUGAUGGUCAGCGAGUUGCUAAUUGCUGAUGGUGUUGUUGCUUGAUUUCUCAUGUGAAGUGGAUCUUUUGGGUGGGACCGAUCGUCGGAUCUACUUGCGCUGCGAUAUACUACACGUAUGUGCUAAAAGCUGCAUCAUUAAGGUUCAGAAGUCUCUAUGAAUAAGCAAACAAUACAAAAUAAUACUGACAGAUUGUCAAGAAGUUGGGAUGACUAUUGGUAUGCAUGUGAGAAUCAGAAUAUCUCAGUCGUCCAAAUCAUGGGCUACUCACGUUUGUCAUGCAGUUUCGCAUAUCUUGCACAUAGAUCUAGAAUUCCACGGAAUGAUAUCCUAUUUACUUUUAUAACAGAUCUUUGUUUUCAUGGCUAGCUGAUCAAUACCGUAUGGGACCACGGAUUAGUACUUGCGUCAGUGGUUUUCUCUUGAAUGUGAUUUCGACCCCCAUUUUUUCAGAACUUCAUACACUACCCCAGACUCUGUAAAUGAUUAGGUAACUUGCAAACAGACGAAGACUUUGCUUCUAUGGAAUACACUCCGCCAAAAUGUUUUAACAGACCAUAAACUAUAUGUAACUGCUUCCUUCUAAUGCAUAUAUCUUCACAGUAAGUGCGAAAAUUGCCAAAGUUCUCUCCAUAUGAACAUAAGUAAAUUAAAACUGUACGAAAUAUAAAAACUUCAGUGAAAGUUGUAUCCCAUCUACACAUAACAAGUGCUCUCUAAAACAUCCCCAAAUAUAUGCCAAAUGGAGCAAGUUUGCAUUUAGAGGAUACAAGUAUACGCAGGUAAUUUAUGCUGGACUUUCUCACAAAAGAGCAGCAACAUCACAGUACAAAUUAGAUCUUAUCUAAGCGCGGAGUAAUUCCUCUCAGAUCCAACUCUUGCGCGCACAAGGGCACGUCUUGUUCUUCAUUAUAUCACAUAAAAAACUACAUUGUUACACAUAUUCAACUUCCUCUCCUAAAACUCAUCCACAUAACUAUACCAACAUAAGUGGUCUCCAGUGUUAACAUUCGUGUUGAGCACAUCCUUCAAAGUUUAUUGUAUGGCCGGAAAAAAAUGUAAACCACAUCUCGAAUCGGAUGGCUCCUCUAACUACAAAAAAACAUCCAUAUACAACUGUCUCUUUUUCGCACCAUGACGGGGACCAUUUUUACAUCUCGAUUUGUGCGCGGAAGGUUUAACUGUUGGAGCCGCUGCAGCUUUUAGUCACCAUUUUUAGCUGGUUGUGCUGAACUAAUAGUAGCGGUAGCACACAGGAGAGGGCAAUGGCCAGCGAUCCUCCAUCUGAUUCACUUGCCCAUAUGAAGGCUGCCCGUGCCGGAGUGGACUGAGAACUGGCGCCGAGAUGAAGCCCGGAGCUGCAUCCAAGGAGGUUCUGUAUGGGGAGGAGCCAUGACUUGAACGGUUGUACCAGUGCUCUGCUCCUGCGUUGUAGUACUCGCAGUCGUCGGCCACUGCACCCACUGAUCUUUUCUCGGGAUCUCGUUGCUGGAUACCAUCGUAUGACGACCUUGUAAUGUGCCUCUGAUUUUGAUUUGAAGUUUGUGACCUUUGUUUGUGAUAAUUAGGCUCUCUGUAAACAGAGAUCUCUGAGUGACGAGCAUGUGACAAGUGUUCUCGGCUAUUCUGAGACUGGUCGACGGGAGGAUCGCUCGGAAUAUGGAUACUUUGGAGGAGCGUCCUGCCCCUCCAGAACUGCGAACCUUUCUUGAUUCUCUUGACUCUCUUGAGCAGCCAUUGAGGUUCUAAAUUGCUGGAAAUUGUCACUCUUUGGUUGUGUUGAUCACACACAACCUUGUAAACGCCGACGAUGUUCUCUAGCUCUUCUUUCACUUUCUCCUCGCACUUUCCACAGCAUAGGGGCACCAUAAACUCGACAAUCUGAAAGAAAAGUUUGUAACUUGGUUAGUACAUGAACCAUGUUGUUGCCAAAAAGUGUUCCAGAACCUAACAGCUUUCGCAUCAAUGAAAAUACGUAUCACUGCCACUUGGUCAGGUGCUUACGGGUACGUUCAUAAAUGUGUUCGACAAUGGAGUUCGAUCGACAGAUAGGCGCAUCGUGGGAGUAUCGCUGUAGGUAUAUGCGUGAUGGUGAUCCACAGUCGUCAUGGGAAGCUUCCUCAAAGGGUAGCUGGACCCUGCACUGGGCAGAUUCUCAGUUCUCGCUGGGACAAAACCGCUGGAUGUUGAUCGUAUUUGACGAACGCAUCCACGACGAGAAAAAUGGGAAUGACCCUCUUUCUGACUCUCCACCAUCCACUGGGGCUCAUGUCCCCCAUAAAAAGUCUGCACACCAACACCAUCAUCUUGCUUAAGCUCAGACCGUGCGCAAACUCUCAGGCACGUAAAAUUAUCAUCACAAAACUAGGAUUUCCUACUCACGACUAGUUUUAAGCACGACUCAAAGACACAGUACAGAGGUAAUGUCAUACCUCCGGGAUGACGUUCGACAUGAUGUCUGCAGAGCAAGAAUCCGGCCAACACUGAGACUCCUCAGCAAGUCGAAGAAAAAACAGCAAAAGCUGAAGCUCGUCUCAAGGUUCACAACCGUGGAUGAACUUGAACGCCAGUACACUCAGAGCAGUCCAGGAGGUCCACUGAAACCCAGUAUUAACAACCUCUUGUUCACCAUCUACACCCGCCGCGAACAGAUGGGUUCUUCUUCCGUUACCGAAACCUGAUGUCAAGUAGCACGUCACAGACUUGAAUCAGCCAGAAUGGAGGUAUAUAUGUCUACGCAGAGAUGUGUCCAGACGAGCCGUGGGAGCAUGAGAGAAGGUAGGUGAGAGUGGGAUUCGUUGCGAAGGUGGACGUUGCGAAUAAAUAAUGAGCUGAUGCAUUUGCAUCGAUCGCGAGUUACGUGGCGAGAAGCGCAACGGUUCUGAGCAGGGCAGAACCGACCAGAGCCGCCCCUCCGCUGUGAGUGGCUGCGGAGGCAUGAACUCUCCGGUGUGGGGCCUGAAAUCUCGUACGACUUGGGGCCUCCUCUGCUACAGCCACAAACUGCCACAAAGCCACUCGAGCGUGCACUCCACAACGGGAAGCUCCGCUCCGACACGAUGCGCUUGACGCACGCACCCCGUUUCCAGGCCCAUGAAGAUUUUUCCAUGAAAAUUGCGUACAAACGGAUCUAAACAAAAAAUGCUCAUACAAUUGGUACGAAGAGUGGAGUGUACAACUCUCUUUUUUGAGUUUUUUUGCAGUUUUAAAGUCGCCUUUACAGUUUUAUCGCAGCUUUUGGGUUUAUUUUAUGUCGGGAAAUCUUAGAGAGUUUGAAGAGAAGAGUUGUGGAGGUCUGAUCGACUGGAGUCCAAUUGGGCUACGUGUAUUCUGUGUUUUAAUUUUCUAUGCCCUAUUUCUUGCUUUUGACACUUAGUAAUAGACAGCAAACUACAAAGAUGGGUGAGUUAAAAAGUAUCUGGUGGUGAAAGGUAUAACAAAAUGGCAAGGAACUUAUGUAUGUUCAAAGUAAUACAUAAAUGAGUAUUGUAUUGUAUUAAAUAGAUAGAUAGAUAUACUUUGUUUAAUUUAGGAUAAUGUUAAAUAGACCCACAUAUUUACUCAAUCAACUUAUCCAUGAUGAAGAAUAUGAUAAUCACGAUGAAUGUGGUUGGUUUUCAUUGAUUUUGGAUCCAACAGUAGAGAAAUGAUCUAGACACCAUUUUGUUUUUUUCAUGAUGGUUAGAAUGAGUGGGUAAAUUUAGUAAAAUCUUGCAUCUAUUUAACAUUCUCCUUAAUUUAUAACCUUGGUAGAUGAAAACUCUAUGGAUCAUGUGAAAUUUCUUAAUUAAAGUGGAGUUAUGUAAUUUUAUAAUUUCUAAGUUAUAGAUGGGUACAUGAAAAAAGACACUCUUUAUAAGAAUUGGCAUUGGCUUUGCUAAGAUUGUUAAUUUAACAUUUAGGGAUAUGAAUGAAGGUUUUUGUUGAAAUUUUGUUGCAAUUUAAAUAUGUAGAUAUUGGCCUUAAUUGUAAUGCAAGAUUAUUUAUUAAUGAGCAUGUUUGUAUUGAUUCAAGACAUAGGUAUAAAAAUAGAAGUAUAUUUUAAACUUAGUUUAAAAUAAAAUUCUCAAGGAUUGAAGUAGUUUUUUUUUGCAUGUAGUGUCCAUGACAAAUACUAUGAGACUAUAAGUUCAAAUCAAUAUCAUCUUUUGUUCAAAGUCAAAGAAUAUUGCUUUUCCAUUUGUUGUUCAAUUCAUAAAGCAUAGUUUUGGAUUUAAUUCUUUAGAUAUAGCAAUAUCUAGAGAAAAUUUAAGGAGCUCCAAGACAAUUGUUGAAAACAUCCAUACUUUAGAAGUAACAUUAAUAAACAAUGAGCUUGUGACAAUAUUUGUCUCUACAAAUCAAAUUGUAGAUGUUGUUGGAAAUUACAAUUUGGCUUUGCCAAGCAAAUAAGUUCAAUACUAUAAGCCUAUCUUUCUUUCAUUGAUUUUAGAUUUUUACAAGCAUGAUAGCAAUAACUCCAAAAUGAUGUAUUGAAAAAAAUAAAAAAUCAUAUUCUUUUACUAGGCUAGGAUUAUGGCUAUUUAAUGUGCAAAUACAACACCUUUAAUCUUAAUAUUGAUCUCUUUUUUGUUAACAAUGGGACUAUUGUUGAUAGAUGUCAUAUAUGUGGCAAUCUCUUUCUCACCUGGAUUUCUUUGUGUUAUAGGUGCUUAAAAGAUUGAUGAUCUUUGGAUAAAUGUAAAUUCUAAAUAUAUAAAUAAAUGAUCUCUUCUUUCAUUAGAUCCACAUUCAUCUAUUUGUUAUUUGUUGUAGUAGGAAUCAAUACUCAAAUUAUAAAACUUUUCACUAAAUUCCUCACUUAAUUUUUAAAAAUUUAUUAGUUUUUAAUUAAUUAUAUAUAUAAAAAGAUUAUAAGUUUAUGCAUUAUUUGUUCCAAAAAAUAUUAUAAACUAAACAAUGAAUAUUAUUUAAGAGAUAUAAAUUAUAUAAAGUAACUAUAUAUAUAUAUAUAUAUAUAUAUAUAUUCAUGUAUAUUCUUCAAAUUCUCCAUUCUCUUCUUUUAUAUUAACAAGGCUUGUCUUUAAUAUCAAUAUAAAAAAUAAAAAUAAAUAAAAAAAAGAAGAAAAAAGAACCUUUAUGUAUUCAAUGUUUAUAUAUACAAAAGUGUAUUAGUGCAAGUAUUUUUUCUCAAUUAAUCUUAAAUUGUUUGAUUUUUUUUAUUGCCUCUACAGUAAAGAGUAACAUUAUAAUUAAUUGUUUGAUAUAAUAAUUCAUAACCUUGUAUGCAACAUUAUAAGUUACAUUAUGAGUCUUGUAAGCAAUGUCACAACUAGUAUUGUAAACCUUGUAAGCAAAUAGUCACAGUGCUAUUAAAAGAAGUUGUGAAAUUUUUUCCAUUAGAAAAAUAAGUCAUAUCUUGGUUACAAAAAUUAGUUUUUUUUUUUUGUUUGUGAGUUGUGCUCGCUUUGUAAAGAAACUUUAAUUAUUCUGAAAUUUAUAAUGAAUAUGUUUUGAGAUAUAAUUGACGUAUUUUGUUUGUUGUAGUUAUUAUAAACCUGACAAAGAAAAAAAUAAUUUUUUAUAUCAGAAGCAACAUCAAAGUACUUAAAAAUUUUCUGAUUCUUAAAUUUAUUUGGAAGCAACAUCUACAUUUUCCGGAUUUCUCAAUUCUGUUUAAAGUUGAGGUGUCAAAUUUAUAUAGGAAAAUGAGAAAUACUUGAUCCAUGCUUUUUGGUAUAUAAAAUAAAACCAUUUUGAACUGUGUUGUACAUGAAGCAAGUAUAUGAUGUUGCAUACUGAACAUAUAAAUAUUACAUUAAUGUAUUUUAUGAGUUUUACUGUUAAGAUAUGACAUACAUAAUUUAUAUAAAAUAUGGGCCUUUGUAGCUAUUUGUUCUUGUUGUUGGGGAAUGAUACAUAAAUACAUGUGGUGCAAAAGAACAUGCAAUGUAAAAAUAGAAAUUAUUACACUUAAAAAAUAUAAUUUUAAUAAUAGAAAUAUUAUUUUUUUAAUUUGAUGUCAUUCAUUUCUUAAUAUGUAUUUUAAAACUUUUUUGUAGAUACUAUUUCAUGUAUUAGUAGUUGAUAUCAGUCUAUGAUUUAUUUGCAGCUUAUUUUAUGAUUGUGGUAAUGAAUUUUGAGCAUUUAUAUAAUUUCUGUUUGAAUACAUAAUUAUUUCUUGAAUCUUUAAGUUUCUUCAUGUGUUUAUACCUUGAGGUAUUAUCUAUUAUGAAUGUAGCUGUAUAUGCCAUCUUUUAUUUAAUGAUAUACCUAUUUAAUAUAAAAUAUAUUGUGAAUUCUAUUUUAAAUUUAUUAUUAUUAUUAUUAUUAAUUUCUUUGGCUGUGUCAUUUUUUGCUUCUGGCAAUUCGAGUAAAAAUUUAGCAAACAUUCAAGCAGUUGGUGUGGAUGAAUCCUUAGAUGAUUAAACAUGUAAACCUCAUUCUCUAUAUCACACUUUUGCACCACUUUCACCAGAUAAUGCUAACAAUACUUCAUCUGAAACUAAAUCAUGAACAUUGAAAACAAAAGGGUUUACAAAGAUUUUACUUAUUUAAUGGAGAAUAAAAUAAGAAAAUGAGUAAUUAAAAACCUUAAAUGAAGUUGAAUUGGCAACAAAUAUGUUAAAAUUUGGUAAUAAAAAAAUGGAGACUAUGAAAGAAAUUAGAAAUUCAGGUUGGCAUUCCGAACAUAAAAGAAAAAAGAAGAAUCAAAGUACAAGUUUAUAAAAUUGAAGAUUGACUAAGAAAAGAUACUAGCUAUUUUUUUGUGACCCACAUGGUAGCCUAGUAUUGAAUUUCUUAGAGUAAUCUAUUAUAUAUGCUCUAAAACAAAGUCUUGAGAGAGAGAUUUAUAUAUAUAUAUAUAUAUAUAUAUUUGAACACUUUUCUUGUUCAAUAUUCAUAUUUUUACACCAUAUAUUUUUUUCAUUGUAGUUUUUUCCUUACAAUAUAAGUGAAAUGUAUAAUAUUUCAAUAUUGUACAUGUAUGAUAUAUUGUAGUUAUAAAAUCCUUUAAAAAAUUAACAUUGUGAGCAGUAAUAAUCUAUAACUGAAACUCUAUUGUAUUUUAAAAAAUGUACAUACAGCUCAAAUAAUUGAUUAUUUGUCAUGAAUUAUGAAUUCUAAAAAACUUGAUCAACAAAGGAAUAUAAACCACACUCUUGAACAUUACUAUUCUGGAACAAGAAAUUCUGAUAUAUUUGAUAUAUUAGAGGAGAAUGGACCACUAUUUCUUGUUCACCACUCUACAAACUUUAAUUUUUGAGAAAUACCUUCCACAACACUCAAAAUUCAAAAAGAAAAAUCUCAAAUCACUAGAAAAUUAUAGGCUUGAGAUAGCACAGUUUAUUUAACAUAAAUUACUACCUCAAUUUAAACUUGAAAAACAGAAAGUUUGCAUGCACAAAUAAUAAAAAAAAAUGGCGAUAAGACAAAAAUGGAAAACUAUAUUUAAGCCACAGACGAGCUCUUUUCACACUUACGAACAUGAAGUCCAGUAGAGACUUCAAGCUCAUCGUCGUUGCAUCAAGCCCAGCCGUAAUGCAAUAAAACUUAGGGCUCCCCAGCGAUUUGGCGACCAAACUGAUUUGGGGUGAUUAGCUGCGAUGAAGACAGUUCGCAGUAUCGCAUUCUUGUUAUUUGAAGGUUAGAAUCACCAGCGCCAACGACCGGAGUGCACUAUCGUAAGAUCUCUACGCACUGGCCUUAACGAUCACUGCAUUGAUGAAAUUCUUUAGGAAUUGCGCCACCCCUUGCUAUCGAAUCCGCAACUCUGUUUUUCUCCGUCAAUUUUUUCUUCUUGUCCUCCUCUAGUUUUUUGUAUUCUUAUUUUCUAAGGAGACGCUAAAUCUGUACUCAUUAUUCGCAGCAUCACGACCGGCUAACCUAGGGAAUUGAUUGAUUAAUGUAGUGCAGUUUGAUCCUUGGCCGAAUUGUGUUGCUAAUGUAUUUGAGUACGAGUGCUGUGAGCUUGCAAGAAGCAGAGCAGUAGGCACUGUGUAACGUAGUUCAAGUAGGUGUGCGACCACACUGGAUAGUGUCACGUGUUCCUCUUCUUGUACGACCAGCGCAGAAUUUUGCCUCAAUGAUAACCUUCCAGUAUCAAGUCGCUGUAAAUGGCGUGAUUGCUUUAGGUUAUCAAUCUUGCGCUCGUCGCACAAAAACUAGGUUAUCCAACUGUCGUCCCUAACCCUUCCACCGUAAGUAUUGUCGAAGUUCUAGCAUCCGAAGUGGUUUUAAGUGAAAUCCAAUUGCAGCUUUUUUCUUAGUAUUUGUAGGCUUUGUGUUUGAUGUCCAAUUAAUGAUUAUUUUUAUAAUUUUACUUAGUAAUAUCAUGUUAUCAACAAUAACAACAACAAUAAUAAAAAUAAUCAUAUUAUUUUAUACAUGUAGCCAUGAAGGAGGAGUCUGAAAGCAGAAAUGGCUAAUGAGAUAGUUUAUCAGAAGGCUGAUGCCUGAGAGCAAUAGUGAUAUGCGCGGAAGCAUUCGUUAUGUCUUGUGUUUUACCGUGGUCAAUUCCCGUAGAAGUAUGUGUCAUAAAUUUUUUUAUCCGAAAAUAUAUACACGGUGUUCUAGUGGAAAAGAAAAUAUCUACAUGUCCGCAGGAAUCAUUGUUUAAUUAGAUAACAUUUACCCUGUAGUUAGUUUACGAGCUUUUUCAUCCCUUGUGUGCAAUAGAGCUUGUAAAGUUUUUCCCAAGGUUUAACUUUCCUGCUUUUAUCUGUGUAGAGGUAUUUAAUGGCGCAGUAAAUCCUUAAGUGAACGGGAGCUUGCCUCGAGGUUUUUUCGUUUAUUUCUAACCAUGGCGAACGUCCAGCAAGAUCUUCAACGUGGUCUUCCAGUACGCCGCUUGGAAGGUCAUACAGACUCUGUCUUAUGCUGUGCCGCCCAUCCGUCUUUUCCCAAUGUCGUCACUUCUUCUAGCGAGGUAGCUAUGUUCGCAACUUUCCGUGUUCUUCUGCCCUUUACUUGAGCCACAUGUCAGCGCCUCUUGCCCACUGUGCACUAUGAAUUGAACUGAGAUUUGCAUGCUCUUCUGCACGAUGAACCAUUUGUCUUACGAGCUUAAUAUUGGAAGAUUCCUUGCGAAUUCGUUCUUUUAUGGUUGCUAAUGGAUGAGCUACUUAUGAUCUCUUUUCGAUCAGGAUGGGAGCGUGUGCGUUUUUGACAUUCGAACCACCACUUGUUGCCACAGGCUUCAGUAUUUUGAUGGCCAAGCAGUGGUUUCCGUUUUACCAACAUCUGGUCCAUCUCUACCCCUCGUCCUUGUCUUCCGUUUCGAGAUAUAUGUUGAAGGAUCUAAAAUGGAAAGAACGGUCGUUUAACUUUUCUUUUCUUGAGUUGCAAACGAAGUUUUGUGGGUUGAACAUAAACAUAUGAGUGGAUUGUUGAUGCUGGUGACUUGGUAUAGGAAGUGAACAUGUCCUGUACGCUGCAGCGGGUUCUACUGUCUACUGCCUGGAUGUGCGUCAGGUAUUUUUGAUGUUCCUUGCACAUACGAUUGUCCUUUCUAUAUGUUGGUUCAAGUGGCUUUGAUCAUCCCACACGUGUGCUGUUUGCUUAUACCGAGGCUUAAGUGCUGGUGAGCAGGCGAUUUUGUGAAGCUACUGAUGACUAACGGGUCAGUACGUUCGUCUUGAAUGGAGGGCCCUACAGGGAGCCCUUUACAAACUUACUCAUUCAACACCGAGGAGAUCAACCAGGUGGAUAUCUUAAGUUGUUGAUUUGUUCACCAUUUUUCUCAUGCAUUGUGGUUAGGAGCAUGUCUUGGUUCUCUGUCCACCUGGAGACCAGUGACUGCAUUCUUCAAGAUUCUUGAGGGUUAGAUCUAUCAGUCACCUAAAAGUAGAAUUUUAGGGAGUUUUCCUGAUUCUGGUCAGAUACAAGUACAUAGUUUCUGGAAUUACGAUGUGAUCCAAAUUGUCAGACCCGGUAACUUAUGCAUUUCUGUUAUUGAUGAAGGUGGCAUUGAAUCCUAAAGCGACGUAUCUUGCUGCAGCAGAUGACUCUGGAGCUGUGAAGGUAAUUUUGCUACUUUUGUGUCUAUGAUAUAGGUCUAAGCACGUGACAUUGUAUCUACAUUGUACUACCUAAUGAAUCAUCAUAUUCACUAGCUUUGAUUAGUAUGGCUAGUUAUGGUUUGGUCAUUGAAAUGUCCAUCUCAUGGCAGUUUAUAAAACAUUUCAAUGUGGUACGACGCUAGAGAAGUAUCGAGUUAGUGGUGUGUGGCAACCCUAGGUAUUUCAGAAGUGGAUAUCCUGCCCAUGAUUAUUCAAACAUGGGCUUGAUGCAAUGAUAUGUUUGUUGGUGGGCAGAUCAUAGAUCUCCGUUCCCACAAGCUUUUCAAAACUCUACAAGGAGCUCAUUCAAAUGUAAGACUGGAGCAUUUCUCUUUUUGGAAUUACUACCCUAAUUUUCUAGCUUGUUUAGUCUUAUUGAUCGAGAAGUAGAUUUCUUUUGGAAUGCCGCGUAUUCUUCGGAAGGUUUUGGGGUUCUACUGGCUAUGCUGAUGUGUGUGCUUAAAAUCUCGUGUGCAGCAAUUUCUAUAUGUAGUGCACGAAGUUAUGGUCUUCUAAGGAGAUAUAUACGUUUUGUUUUGCUGAUGCUCAUUUCUACAUUUUACAGAUUUGCAGCUCUGUGCAGUUUCAUUCUCGUAGGCCCUGGGAAGGUGAAAAAAUUUGCGUCCAUUUUAGGUUGAAUCUCCUGAUUGGUCUUGAAUAACAAGUAGAUUUGAGUUUGCUUGUCAACAGUGUGACAGCCAUAUCAUGGUCAUAUUCUUUGGAUUUCUUGUGACCUUAAACGGAAUGAAAAACAUACAAUAUUUUUCCUCCUAAUAACUUGGUUUUUCAUAUUUCUUACAGUUGUAACUGGAGGAUUAGAUUCGAAGAUAGUGAAGUGGGACUUUAAUCGUGGAAGGCCAUUGCAGGUCGUUGACCUUGGUAAGUUCUGUUCCUGUGUUUGACGUUUUAUUCUUUGCCCAUAUUCACCUGAUUAAUAUGAGCCACUUUAUCCUCAAGUUAUAAAAUUGCGUUAGUUUUAUGGAUUUCGUAACUGUUUUUAUUUUUAAAAAACUAGAUUGGCAAAUAAUUUGUAAUAUGUAAUUUGCUUAUUACUUGUUCAGCUGCGACAGCAGUCACCAGUAAUGAAGGAGUUGGGGGCUUUUGCAACCCUCCCUUCAUUCAUGCAUUGGCUUCGAUGGAAGGUGACGUCCCAGGUGAAGCUGGAAAAUUACUGGCAGCGGCUCGGGGGGAUGGAGCUGUUGAUGUUUUUGACUUUGGUUUUGAGAGCAGUGAUUCAAAGCAGUCCUCUCAGCCUGCUGUUUCAAAAAAGAAGGCACCAAACAAAGAUCUAAAAGUGACUGGUGACAUAACGAGUCCACCUCACUUGGAUGCUUUAGUACCUGGAAGAAAGCGACAUCUGCAUUUCGGCCUCGGUGGUCAUGCUAGCAUUGUAAAUCAUGUGUAUGUUUCUCUCAAUCCACUGAACUGUUUAAGAUUGCUGCACUGUUUGGGAGGUAAACAAUCGGGCAAGAAGUAAAAUGAUGAAAAGCUAAAGUUUUUUAACUCGUCCUCCUCAGAACGUUUGCAAGGUUUGGUGCACGAGGCCAACUUUUAGUUUCCGGUGGGAAUGACUCAUUUAUUAAAGUUUGGAACUGGACUGUUGAGGAUAACCGACAUUCGGGUGAUGCUGGCACCAGCAGUCAAGGGCCUCUGGUACUGAAUUUGAAGCACAAGAAAAAGGUGAUUUUUAACUUACCUCAUUUCAAUUGCAUCAGCACACAGAUGUAGAGGUUUGUCAUGUUAAAUCAAUGCUUAACAUACAAGUUUUGACCCUCUAACCAAAAUUUUCAGUUUUUCUUAUUCUACCAAAGAGUGUAAGAACUGGCAUAGACCCGCUUACUAGCUUGUAUAUUUCAUUUGGAAUCGUGUUCGCCUAACACAAGUACCUCCCAUGUUAUGUAGGUCAAUUGGUUGAGCACGACAUCUUCACAAACAGAGAAUCUAGUGGUUGCCGAUACUUCCAAAAUUCUUAGUGUUUAUUUUGUUUUGUAAGGAUGCAGCCUUCCUGAGGGCGAAAAGGUAUUGUAAUGGCACUGCCUCUACAAUUGGGAUGUAGGAGUGUAUAUAUGCAAACACAUGAAACUCAUUUGGCAAUUACAAUCAAUUGCCGCACUGAUGGGCACGAAAAGCAUCGUUACAUCUCUUCACUCUACUGGAUUACUUGACCUGCAACAACUAAGAUUUACACUAGGCACCAUGAAUUGUUCUGUUUUAGUCAUGAAUCAUACAUGUACCAUUGUUUCAUAUGACCAAGUCAGUCCUUUUUUGAAAGAAGAUAUCUCAAUUCUUAGAUGUUCUACCUUUGUAAGUCAUCAAGAUCUUCUUGUAUGUAGCAAAUAGAGUUUGGAAUAUUAAAGUAUAUAAAAAUGAAAGUAGAAUAAAUUAUCAAAUAUUUGAUAUUAUUUUAGGUGAAUUGCAAGUGGUUAAAGAGAUGGUUCUUGAGGUGUAGAAGGGCAUCAUACUAUAAGAUUAAGAGUUAAGAAACAAGGUUUAUAAACCAAAGAAUUUUUUAGGAGAUAUCCAAAAUAUAAAUUAAAGCAUAAAGUAUAUAUGUUAAGUGUUUUUUUUUUUUUGUUGAAUUAAUUCUUUAGUGGACUAAUUUUGUGGUUAUAAGUAUUAAAGAAGCUUAUGAUACUUAAAAUGCCUAUUAUGGUAUUAAGAGGUGAUUUUUGUGUGUAGAAGUGUUUUAAGAAUAAUUAAUUUGAUUUGAGAUGUUUCAUUUUUCAUAGCACUUGUAAAAAGUCUUAGAAAUAAAAAUUGAAAGUAUUUGACAAUAAAAAUAUCAAUUAAUUUAUAAAGAAGGUAUUUUGAAUUUGUAAGGUAGUAACAUUUUUUUCUAUUGAUUUUGAGAGCUUUAGGAUUUUUUUUUUUUUUUUUUUUUUUUUUUUUUGUUUUUAUUAUAUAUCUCUACUUUAAUCAUAGCUUUAAGUGAAGGUGAGGACUUAAAGAUCAUUGAGAAGUUUUGAGGAAAACAAUUAUACCAUUAAAAGAUAAAAAUUGAGCUUUUAUUGGCUUUAUAAGAUUUUUAGAAUAUUGUAGAUUAUAAUGAACACCUUCUAAGCAUGCAUGCUAAUAUGAAUAAAAAGAAAGACUUUAAACAAAAUAAAAAGAAGGCUUUUGAUAUAAUUGUCACUAAUUUAGAUAAAGCCACAACUUCUUCAAUAUUAUUUCUUGCAAAAGACCAUAAAAAGUACAAUAGAUGAUGAUGAUAUUAUCGUGACUUUAUUCAUAAGACCUUCUAAAUCAUACAAUUACUUUAUAAUAGAAUUAAAUUAUAUUAAAUUAAAAAACUCACAUUAGAUUACGUAAUGACAAGACUUGCCAAUAAAGUGAUAAAAAAUUAAGAAAAAAAACAUCAAAAAUGAAGAUUUGGCUCUUUUUCUUAGACAAGGCAAAUGAAGUUAUUUUAAUCUAUAUAAGAAUGUAAGUAACAAUGUACAAACUUAUUUCAUUCGUAAAAAAUCACGUCAAUUUGGAUAAAAUUGCUACAAGGUCAAAAAAUGAAAUAAAUAAAAUGCUAACAAUGCAUAUGAUAAAUACAAAAGAAAUGAUUUUUUAUUCAUGGUAAGAAAAAGCACCUCCAUGUCCAAGUCAAUUGUUGAUUUGUAUGGAUAUAAUUCUAUACAUGUAUUUAUUUAAUUUUUUAUGAAGAAAUUUUAAUAAUAAGAAUUUUAAUAUGAGAUAAUAAUAUGGUACAAGCCAUUAGAAUUAGCUCUAUUCUAGUGAGGAUUAUUGGAGAAGGUCAAACUAAAAAAAUUAAUAUAAAGAAUAUCUUAUGUAUGCACAAUAUAAAGAAAAAUUUCUUUUCAAUGAACAAACUUAAUUUACAUAUUUUUAAGGUAAAAUUUGAUAUAAAUAGAUAUAUUUUGAAGAAAUUAUAAAGAAAUGAUGUUGCCAAAGAUUGUAAAGCUAGAAACUCUACUUCAUUAAUUAUAAGAAGGUGAAUGAAGUUAAAGUGGCAAUAUUUGUUAAAUUUCCAAAGAAUUAAGAUAAAUUUGACAUUUAGUAUUGACUUCUUAGUUGUUUAAAUGGCAAGAGUAUGAAAAAACUCCAAUCCAUAGUAAGUGACUUGAAUAUUAGUUAAUUAUGUAAUAAUGCCAUAUUGCUUGCUUCUAAAGGUUGUAUUAUAUGUAAAUAAUAAAGAACUUUAUUUUCAAGUAGAAUUGUAAUAUGUAAAAGUAAGCUCAUGAAAAUUUUGCAUUUAGAUGCUCAUGGACCUAUGAGGAUGACAUCAAUUAGAGAAGUAAGAUAAUUUUUUAUAUUUAUUGAUAAUUUCUUAAGAAAAAUAUAAAUUUUUAUUUUUAAAGCCAAAAUUAAAUAUUUUUUAAAAUUUAAGGAAUUUAAAAGACUUAUAAAAAAACAAUGUAAGUUUAAGAUCAAGAUAUUAUAUACAAACAAUAGAAGUGAAUAUUUACUAAAGAAUUUUGAUGAUUUUUUAGAGAUUUAAGAUAUUACAAGAUAAACCUUGAUUCUUUAUAUUCCACAACAAAAUAGAUUUGUUGAAAGAGUAAAUCAAAUGAUUAUAAAGAUAACAAAGAAUAUACUCAAUACCAUAAACAUGACUUGAUUAGAAGUUGUGAUAACUGUAAUAUAUACAAAGAAUAAGUACCUUAUAAAUGCACUUAUAUUAAUGACUAUAUAAGAAGUUUAGAGUGGAAAGAAACCUUAUGUUUUAUACAUGAAGAUUUUUGGAUGUAGUAUUUAUUGAAGAAAAGAAGUUUAAAAGCUAUAAACACUUAGAAUCAGCAAGGAUUGUACUCUAAGAGAAGUGUGGACAAAGAUAAUUCUUAUUUCCAAUACCUUUUACUUAUAAGUGGUGGUUUCCUUAUCAACGAGGCAACUUCCAUCUUUUUGAUAUUACAUCCAUUUCUACUUCAUCCAACUAUAUCCUAGGUGCCACCAUUGUAAUUUCUUUUAAUUCUUUGUUGCCUUUUGACUAUUAACAACAUAAUAUGCUUAAUCUCUAGGUGGUUGUAACUAAGCAAGUACUUGCUGAUCUUCAACACUCUCACUUUGCUAAUUUUUAAAAGGCUUUCAAUCCUAAUCUUUGUAUCAACUCGUGAUGUUUAUCCUUCACUAAUGCCUUUGUAAGUACAUCAGGAAGCAUGUCAUUUGUAGCAUAAUAUUUCAUAUCUAUUAUUCCAUCUUCAAUCUUUUCUUCUAUGAAAUGAUGUUGAAUAUCAAUGUGCUUGGUCCUUGAAUGGUGUUUUCUUUUUUUUUGAUUCUUGACAAAUGCAAGACAUCCUUCAUUCUCACACAUAAUUAGAGUUGCUUCUAAUUGCACUAGUCCAAUGUCUUUUAAGAGCUGCCUUAUCUAAAAUGCCUCUAUUGUACAAUGACUUACUGCCAUGUAUUCAGCCUUCAUCAUUGAUCUUGCAAUGAUAGGUUGUCUCUUAUAAUUCCAUGAAAUAACUCCCAUUCUAAUGAAGAAGACAUACCCCAUUGUAGAUCUUCUAUCAUUUACAUUUCUAACCUAAACUGCAUCACAAUAAUCUUAUAAAUCAAUGUUCUUACCACCAAGUGUCAUGAAUUUAGAAUAUCAAUUGGAAAUCUAAAUAGAAGCUCAAGAAGAAUCGGCAAGAACUAGAUUAAUCAGAUGAGUACAAAAACAAGACUAGAGAGGUGAACUAAGGCUCCAAUAAGUGUGUUGUCGAGAUUGAGGAUCCCCUCAAUCUCGGCUCCUAUAUAUACUACAAGCUAGAAAGCUUCUUAAGUAGCUUCCACAAACUAAGAAGCUUCUCAAGCAGCUUCUACAAGCUAGGAAGCUUUUGAAGCAACUUCCAUGAACUUGAAAACUUCUCAAGUAGCUUCUACAAACUACAAAGUUUGUCUAGAACCUUCUAGAAUCUUCUACAACUUCCUAGUAUAUGUCCUUGAUAUCACCUCCUUUUUAGCUUUGAGGUCUCCGAGAAGCACUCCUAUUGCGAGUCAGUACCAACGUAAGAAGUUGGAAAUUUGUCGCAUAGUAUUUGCAAUAUACUCCAAUUGUUGUUCACGCAAUAAGUAGUUCAUUGGUCUUUGUAAUUAACAAUAGUGUCCUACGCCUUCGAUUUUUGACCACGCAUGAACUUCUAUGUCUUCAUUGUGAAAACCCCUUACAAACACUUCUUUGAGAAGAUCUCCAUAGGUAGGUUCUACCUCAAACACAAUCACUAGCGACUUGUUACUAGCUAUCCUCCGUCGUCUUUGUGGUACAAGCGGUUAUUCAUCUCGGAGUCGUCUUUGUGAGAUACUCAGUUGAGAGGACAUAACUGGUAUGGUAUCUAUCUCUUGGCUAUCCAUAUUAGACCAAAAAAAUAAGCACUAAACAUGGAAGAAUGGGCUCAGGUUACAGAUUUAUAGUCUCUAACUAUGUCUUUUAGAGGUUCUUUCUUCCUCUUCUUUGAAAGGCCAAGGAUUAAGAGGCUUCAAGGAGAAGGGACUUCAUUGAAAAAAUCUCAUCGAAAAGGCUUAGGUUUUUGAGGAUAGUAUCGAUGAAACUCUUGUACCUUUUGCAAUGCAUUGAUAAGAUUUUUUGCUAGUUCUCAUUUGCGCUCAUUGAUAUCAUAGUCGCUCCAAUACACUAAGUACUCCAAUUUCUUCUACUUAUGCCACAAAACUAGUACCUUUUUCACCUUGUAUUCCUCGUGGUUCUCAAUUUCAAUACUAGGUAGUGGACAUUAUACUCUUUCAAGAAAAGAUGACUCCCGAUAAGAUUCUAAUAAAUAAACAUGAAAGACUAGGUGUACCUUCAUAUUCACCGGUAACUCCAGACGGUACGCCACUAGAUUGAUUUGCUUCUAGAUGAAAAAUGGUCCCAAUCUUUGGUAGUCCAACUUAUCACAUGGCCCUUUAGUUUUGAUAUUCUAUCGAAGUAGCCAUACUUUAUCUCCAAUUUUGAAAGUAGGUGCCUGAUUCUGAAAUUUGUCUACGGAUGCCUUGUAAGCUUUUUGGGCGGUUUGUAAUUGAAGCUUCAACAUAGUUUGAAGCUCUGAUAGUUGUUUCACAAAUCCUUUAGAUGCCGGGUUAUUAUUAGUUGACAGAUUCAACAAAUCAAGCUUUGGAUGAUAUCCAUAGUUGAAAAAGAAUGAUAUUUGUUGAGUCGAUGUAUGAAGGGUGUUCUUAUAUGCAAACUCAGCUAACGAUAGAUAUGCAGUCCAUUCAUCUUGUUGAUAGUUGAUGGUGCAUCAUAAAUAUUGCUCCAAAAUUUGAUUCACCCAUUUCAUUUGGCCUUCAGUUUGAGAAUGAAAAGCCAAAGAAAGCUUGAUAUCCACCUUCAAUAUCUCAAAGAGAGAUCUCCAAAACUUUUAUACGAAUUGAGUUCUUCGAUCUGACAUGAUAUCAUCUGGUAAACCAUGAUAUGAAUACACACUAUCGAAAUAGAGCCUUAUUGUAUCUUUACUUGACGAUGUUUUCUUACAAAGGACAAAGUGUGCCAUCUUUCUAAGCCGGUCUACUACAACAAAGAUGCUGUCAAAUGAAUUUGAUGGCGGGAGGUUCGUAAUGAAGUCCAUAGAAACUGAAGACCAUGGCCAAGAUAGAAUAGGUAAUGGUUGAAGAAGACCAUAAGGAUGAUGUCGAGGGUUCUUGGAUCUUGAAAAAAUAUCACAAGAGAGGACAAAAUUCUUGACAUCUUCCACAUUUGGGGCCACCAAAAAUCUCAAGAAAUAAGUUCUAAGGUCUUAUUGAAUCCAAAAUGUCUUGCAACUGAAAAGUCAUGUCGAGAUUGGAAAAAUUGAACUCGUGCUGGUCCCUUUGGAAUAUACAACCGCUCUUCAAAGUAUAAAAGAUCUCUUUCCACCUUGAACUUGUCAUUAUUGAUAUGUUGCAUGAUAUCGAGGGCUACAAAAUCUCUAAUAGUUACAGUACGUAUCUGGUUGAGGAAGUCAGCAUCAAUUGGCACCAUAGUAGAACAAAGCUUGAAUUUUUUCGACUUCAAUAAUGUUGUACAUCAUUGAUCAAAUGAUGCUUUAUCAGCCUUUGGUACUAGAUACGAUCUCUUUGAUAAUGCAUAAGAUAGUCUUGGUUGUUUUUCAAGUCGAUAAGUAAUAACAAAGUCAAACUUAGAUAGCAACAUAUUCCAUUAAGCUUGACGACGAUUUAGAACCUAAGCCAACAUGAAAUACUCCAAAUUCUUGUAAUCCUUGUAUAAGGACACCGGAUGCGUAGCUCCUUUGAAAAAGUGAUGCUACUCUUAGAAAGAAUCUACUAUUGCAAGAAGUUCUUUAUCGUGGAUCUUAUAGUUGAUCUUGGCAGCAGAAAACUUUCGAGAAUAAAAUGCAACUAGAUGAAGCUUCUUGUUUGUGCCUAUCUGCAAAAAUUCAGCUCCUAUAGCAAAAUCUAAAGCAUCGAUCUCCAAAUAAAAGGCCUUUAUAAAGUAAAGAUGUACCAAGAUUGGAACUAUAGUAAAUGUCGUCUUAAGAUCUUAGAAUGCUUUUUCUACUAGAGGUCUCCAUUUGAGCUUGUCUUUACAUGUGAACCGAGUGAGCGGAGCAACAACUUGAGAAUAAUUCUUGAUGAAGAUCCGAUAGAAGUUAGCAAAGCCAAGAAAACAUUGUACAUCUUUGAUCAUCUUUAGAACUUUCCAUGAUACAAUUACUUCCAUCUUCUUAAAAUCCAUCUUCAAGUCUUCCGUAGUUGCAAUGAAUCCCAAAAAUUCUAUCUCAAUUUGGUUAAACUAGCACUUCUCCAACUUGAUGUAAAGUCCUCGCUCGUGGAUUUUUUCAAGGACCAGACGAACAUGUUUCUCAUGCUCUUCUACAUUCUUGGAAAAUAUCAAAAUAUUAUCUAGAUAGAUGACAACAAAAUCAUCAAGGUGCUCCCAAAAGAUGUCAUUCAUCAUGUAUUGAAAGACCACUAGAGCAUUGGUAAGACCAAAAGGCAUGAAAUUAUAUUCAAAAUGGCCAUACCUUGUAUGGAAAGCUGUCUUCUAUUCGUCUCCUUCUUUGAUUCACACGAGGUUGUAAGUAUUGAAACAUAGAAAGCAUACUCUACACAAGUAAGUUAGGACCAGCAAGGUUGCACUAUAACAAAUAGAGUGUGGUAUGAGAUAAUUCUUCCCAUGCCAACCCUUUCCUUAUAUACUAGUACCAAGGUACCAAGUGCUACAAUCCAUAUGGGAUAUCUCCUAGGACCAGCCCUCCCCUUGUACUCUAAUGUACUAUAGAACAGCACCCUACCUUAUGGGAUAUCCUUAACAACACUUGUACUCUAUUGACCAUUAGCAACUACGUAAAGAGUUCUUUUCUCAACACUCCCACUUUGCUAUUGGUCAAUUAGCUAUCAAUCCUAAUGCCUUACUCAACUUGUUGUGUCCUUCUCUAACUAAGGCUUUUGUCAACAAAUCAGCCAACAUGUCUUUGGUUUCACAAUACAUCAUAUCAAUAACCUCCAUCUCUAUCUUCUCUCUUAUGAAAUGAUGCUGAAUAUCAAUGUACUUAGUUCUUGCAUGAUGCUUUUGAUUCUUUGCAAAAGCAAGACAUCCUUGAUUGUCACACCUCAAUGGAGUAGCCUCCAAUUGCACAAGUCCAAUAACUUCCAAUAACAACCUCAACCAAAAUGCCUCCAUUGCUUCAUGACUUGCUGCCAAAUACUCCGCCCCUAUUGUGGACCUUGCAAUGUUUGGUUGUCUAUUGCUAUUCAAAGAUAUGGCUCCCACUCAAACAAAGAAUACAUAGCCCAUUGUUGACCUUCAAUCGUUUGCAUCUCUCUUAGUUCUAAGCACCCACUUACAUCUAAUUGUUGUGGAAAGAUGUGGUUCUUUCACCAUUCAGCUUGUGGUCUUCUCUCACGUGUUGGAUAUCUUCUUUCAUGCAAAGAAGAUGAGCCUUCUUGCACCUCUUGCUGCCUUGUAUGACUCAUGGAGUGCUUUCUCUUACUCCUUUGUUGGUAUUCUUCAUCUUCAUUCUCUUCAUUGUCCUUUUUGUAUCUUGCAAGAAUUGAAGUCUUCAUAGUAUUGGGCUCUUCUUUCAUGGCAUCUUCCUCUUCUUCUUCACUUUGAGAAUGCUCUUCUUCAUCUUCUUAUUUGUUUGCUAGAAUUGAAGAUGUGUCCACAAACACACCACUACUCCCACUUGGACACAUCUCCCACUUUUCACUACCACUCAUAGAUGGUGUCCUCAUGGAUCCACAAACAUCCGAAUGCACAAGCUCCAGCAAUUGGUUUGCUCUUGUUGCAACUCCUCUAGGAAAUGGUGUCCUAUGUUGUUUGCCUUGAAUGCAUCCCUCACAAGCAAGAUUCAUGGUAGAAUGGCCAAGGUCUAUGCCAUUUACCUUGGAUUGAAGCCCCUUCAUGCUUUUGGCAUUCAAAUGCCCAAGUCUUUGAUGCCAAAUGUCCAUCUUUUCUUCAUUUGAUGGAAAUUCAGCAAAGGCAGCAACCUCCACUCCAUUGAUCCUCUUGCAAUUGAUAAUAUAGAGAUUGCCAUUCCUAGUCCCUUUUGCUACUUCUUUGCCUUCCAUGGUUCUCACAAAACAUCCAUUCAUGUUAAAUUGCACUUUGUACCCAUGAGUUACAAGUUUACUCACCGAAAGGAGGUUCUUCUUCAUCUUUGGCACAUGCAACACAUCUUUGAGAGUGAUUCUCUUGCUUAUGCCCUUCACCACCACCUCCACUACAAUGGUGCCUAUUCCAAUGGCUUGUACCAUACAAUUAUCACCUAACCAAACCUUGGUUGCUUGAAUUGGUUGAUAAGUGUUAAAUGAACACUUGUAUGGAGUCAUGUGUUUGGUACAUCCGGAAUCCACAAUCCAUUUGCUCAUAUCAAACAUGGAAGGAGUUUGUUUUGCCAUGAAUGCAAAGUCUUCACCUCCAUGGUUAUGCAAAGCAUUGUUGGCAUUCUCUCUUUCUCCUCUCUUUGCCUUGAAACAAUUUCUAGCAAAAUGGCCUGGUUUUCCACAAAUGUAACAAGUUUUAGGAGGAUAACGUUGAAAAGGGGCACUUGUCUUACUUGGUCUUGUAAAUAGUACUGAUUGCUCCCCAAUAGACUCCUUUUGCUUUCUUUUGGUCACUUCAUGGGCUAGUCUUGCCGUGACAUAGUCCAAAGUGAGGUCUUUCCUUGAAAUGGACUCCAAUGCCACAAUGAGGGGGGAAUAGGAGUCCGGAAGGCUUGAGAGCAAUGUCAUCACAACAUCUUCUUCAAGUAAAGGCUUGUCAACAACAGCAAGUUGGUUUGCAAGUGCUUUUACCUUAUUUACAUGAGCCAUGAGAUCUUCACCUUCUUCCAUCUUCACAGUGAAGAACUUUUGCCUUGACCAUAGCACAUUGGAAAGAUUCCUACUCUCAUAGACAUUGCAAAGAGUCUUCCAUGCAUCUGCUGCUCCUUUGCAAGAAAUGACAUGAGCAAAGUUGGUUUAAUCUAAGUUGGUGGCAAUUAUGCCAAAAGCCUUCUUCUCUCGUCUUUUGAAGUCCUUUUGCUCCUUCAUGCUUGCCUCUAAUCCAGGUGCCUCUUCCUCCUCACAUACUAUCUCCCAAAGAUCCAAUGACGCCAAAAGUAGCUCCAUUUUGGCCUUCCAGUGGUGAAAGUUAUCACCUCUAAACUUUUCUACCAUUCUUAAGCUAUCACUCUCAAAAGAUGCCAUCUCAAGCUACAAGUAGGUCCAAAAAUCUCUUGAUUUGGAGUUGUAAUGCAAAAGAUAUGACUACUCAAAGAUUGCUGAACUACAAACUCAGAAUUCGCUGUUUUGCAACUUUUUGCAUACUUUGAGUCCAAAUCACGUCUAAAUGGUGGGAAAUGCUAUGUCAUGUAAUUCUAUGGCUUUCAAACAUCUCCCUCACAUCACCUCACUCAAAAUGACUCAAUUUCUUAUAAAACUCUCAAAUAUUAGUGUUACUUCAGCAAAGACACUAUCAAGGUCUUGCACUAACCUCAUACACUCACAAAUCUAGGAGUAAUGACUUCAACAAAACACUAGUAAUACUAUACCAUAAGAUCUCAACCACCAAACAAGCAACAAAGAAAAUAAAAUGCAAGAACAACUUACUUGGUAAGAGAAUGUGGGCCCAUAACCUAUUGAAACAUAGAAAGCAUACUCCACACAAGUAAGUUAGGACCAGCAAGGUUGCACUAUAACAAAUAGAGUGUGGUAUGAGAUAAUUCUUCCCAUGUCAACCCUUUCCUUAUAUACUAGUACCAAGGUACCAAGUGCUACAAUCCAUAUGGGAUAUCUCCUAGGACCAGCCCUCCCCUUGUACUCUAAUGUACUAUAGAACAGCACCCUACCUUAUGGGAUAUCCUUAACAACACUUGUACUCUAUUGACCAUUAGCAACUACGUAAAGAGUUCUUUUCUCAACAGUAAGCUCCCAUUAGAUCAAUCUUUAUAAAGAUCUUUACACGUCCAAGUUGCUAUAGAAGACCUGAUAUCAAGGGUAAUGGAUAACGAUUCUUUUUUGUUAUCUUAUUGAGACCUCGAUAAUCCAUGCACAUCUGCAGUAAGCCAUCUUUCUUUUUCACAAAUAAGAUUGGAGCAUCAAUUGGCAAGUUUGAAUGAUGAAUGGAGUUCUUGGCUAGAUUCUCGUCAAUGUAAUUCUGCAACUUUGCCAACUCCAUUUGCAACAAAUUAUAGAUUGGGCCAAAAAGUGGUUAUACUCCUUCUUGCAAGUCUAUGGCGGAAUCAUACAGUCGAUGCUCCGGUAGCAUGUUGGCAUUCUUCUUUUGAAAUACGUCUUAAAAAUCUUUAUAUUGCUUUGGUAUAUUUGUUGUCAAAAUCCUCUCUCCGCUAAUUGAAGUUGCAUAAAUGACAAAUGGUGUGCCUUCCUUGGACGAUGUUACAAACACUCGUUCUCCAAUAAAUAAGGGUUUUUUUAUUCGGGAUCUACUCUAAUAGACUUAUUUUUGGAAUAUUCUAUAAAAAAUAUCAUCUUUCGUAACUUCCAAUUUAUGGAUAGGUUAUGCAUUUCUAACCAAGAAAGACCAAGAAUAACAAGAUUUGACGGGGUUCUAAUAAUAUUGAAAAUAAUAUAACUACUAUGGUCUUUAAACAUCACCUCUAUAGGUUCUGAUUCAUGGAAAACACUACUAGACAAUAAAGGUCGUCCAUCUAUUACUUCUACGUGAACAAGUUUAGAUUUUUGUACUAGAAGAAUCUCAUGAUGCUUAAUAAAUUCUUUAUCUAAAAAGUAAGCAGAUGCUCUUGAAUCUAAUAAUGCUAAGGUUUUUAGUUUCUGAGGGCCAAAAAAUAGAUAAAUGGUAAAGCAAUAGGAAGGCUAAGCAAAAAGAGAGGAACUUGAUUGUUGUUGUGGUAUUAAAUCGUCCAGCCACACGAUUCCUAUUAUGGCUAGGCAUCUUCAUUUUCUUGAAUAAACGUCCCUGUGAUCCUAACAAUGCAUCGAUUUUGCUUCUUGGGACAGUUUCCAGCUCUGUACCCUUCUUCAUUGCAAUACAAGCAUAGUCUUUCCUCUAUACACUUCUUUUUUUUCUUCUAGAGUUAGGAAUUUGACAUGUACUACGCCAAUUUGUAUGUCUUCAACCUUUGAAUGUGAAUUCAAGCUGCUUGUUGACAUAGUUGAAGCAUGGUAAGCCGUAUGUUAUCUUAAGCAUUGAUCUUGGCAAUGUUGGAAUAUGUAGUUAUCACACUUUAUACCUUGGCUAAUGGCUUUAUUGAGCGUUUGUGGAUUGGGAAGAUAUAAUAAAAAAUCCUUUACAUCGUCUCUUAAGCCUCAAUAAAAUUGAUUCAUCAAUGCUUCCUCGUCUUAGUUGAUGUUGCAUGCUAAUUAUUUAAAAUUUGAUGCGUAGACUGAUAUAAAAGGUGUUCUUUGUCGUAGCGAUCAGAUCUUUAUUGUAGCCCAUUGUGUCUUGUCAUGUUUGACAAAUGCUUUUGUAAAUGCCUCCAAAAAAGUUUUGAAGUUGUUCAAAAUUGACGAUCCUUUCUCAAACAAAGGAGCAAACCAUGAUAGAGGUUGUCCCGUGAACAAAGUUCCAACCAGUCCAACAUGUGACUCCUUCGUCGGAUAGUGCUCGGGCUGUAAAGCUAUUAUCAACCUAAUUUGAUUGACAAAACCUCAAAACUUGGAAUACGUACCAUCAAACUUAUUUGGAAGACUAAUUCAAGACUCUUUUCAUUGUAAAAUCAAUAGUCUUUGUUGAACUAGAGGCAAAGUUGCUUCUCUUGGUGUUGAAGCUUGAGGCUGGUGAAUCCUCGAUUGUGCCAUCCCGGAUGCUCCAUCAUUAUGAAGUCUUGCAAUGACUCCUUCAAUCUCUGUAGCUCUCUGUGAUAACGUAGCAAGAGCAUUCAUAAUGGCAUCCAACUUGGACUCCAAACUUUCAGUCAUACUAAUAUCUUGACCUCCGGCCAUUUUAAGAAAAAGAAAAAAAUGACUCUAUAAGAAGGUAGUAUUGGUUUAGAGGAGGGUACUCUGCAACCUCUAAAAUGCCUUAAAACCUUCAAGAAGAGGGAUAAUCCACUCUCUCUAAGAAAGAUAAGACUCCAAUAUUAUAAUAGAAAAAAUAUCAAUUUAGAAGAAGGUAAUCCGCAACCUCUAAAAUGCCAGCACCUUCAAGCAGAGGGAUAACCCAUAGUCUAACAAGAAGGAACUAGCUCUGCUAUGAAAGAUGAGUACAAUCUCAACAAACUGUCAAGAAUUUAGAAUACUGACUAGAAAUCUCGACAAGAAGCUCAAGAAGAAUAGGAAAGAACUAGAUUAAUUAGAUGAGUACAAGAACAAUACUAGAGAGGUGAGCUAGGGCUCUAAGAGGUGUGUUGUCGAGACUGGGAUCUCCUGAAUCUCGGCUCUUAUAUAUACUACAAGCUAGGAAGCUUCUCAAGUAGUUUCUACAAACUAGGAAGCUUCUCAAGCAGCUUCUACAAGUUAAGAAGCUUCUCAAGUAACUUCCACGAGCUUGAAAACUUCUCAAGUAGCUUCUACAAACUACAAAGCUUCUCUAGAACCUUCUAGAAUCUUCUACAACUUCUUAGUAUAUGUCCUUGAUACCAAGGCACAAUUUGAAGUCCUUUGUAUCUUUUAAGUAUCUCAAUAUUUUCUUUGUCAUUAUCCAAUGCAAUGGUCCAGUCUUAAAUAUGUGUUGGCUUGUGCCUUACCACGACAUCCAUUGCAUCUUUUUUAGUCCUAAACAUCCACUUAUAAUCAAGACUUGAUCGAUUUGCUAGAAGAGGUGUCAAUUUCCAUUUACCAUUAUCCAUAAGAGAUUGGUACUCUUCUUCUAUAGCUUUCUCUCACUUGAUUGCAUCUUGGAACUUCAUUGCAUCAUACAAAGAUAAUGGCUCAAUAAGAAGAACAACAUUUUCAUGUUCUUCACUUACUUGAGAAAAGAUAUGAUCCUUCCACCAUUCACCAUAUUGCCUUCUUUCUCUCAAAGGAUAUCUCCUUUCAUUUAUUGAAGAAGAUUCACCUUAUUGUACUCCAUGUUCUUUUCCAACCUUCUUCUCUCUUAAACCUUGUCGUUUCUUACUCAAUAAUUGGUACUCAUCAUCAUCAUCAUCAUCAUCAUCAUCAUAAUCUUCAAUAUCUUCAUUUCUUUCAUUGCUGUUCUUAGAAAUUGUAGGAGCCUUCAUCUUUUCAACUUUCUUUGGCUUUUAAUCUUCAUCAUCUUCAUUAUCUUCAUCUUCUUUUUUCUUUGUUAAAUUCAAAGAUGUAUCCACAAAUACACCAUUAUUCCUACUUGGACACAUUUCUAAGUGCUCACAAGUACUAUUGUGCUCCAAAAACUCAACAUCACAACUUUUGAUGAACUUUUUGGUUUCCAAGCACAUUAGCCUAUAUGCCUUAGUACCUUCACAAUAACCAAGAAAUACACACUUUGUAUCUUUUGCAACAAGUUUGGACUUCAUACAAUUUGGUGUUUUUGCAUAUGUAAUGCAACCAAAGGUCCUCAUAUGAAAAAUGCAAGGUUGUCUCCUACUCCGAGCUUCUUGUGGUGUCAUUGAUGCAAGAACACUUGUUGGAUACUUAUUUCUUGUAGACAUUGCAUUCACUAUAGCUUCUGCCUAAAAUUCAUAGCCAAGGUUUUGCACAUGAAGCAUUCUCCUUGCCAUCUCUAUAGUGGUUCAAUUUGUCCUUUUAGCAACACCAUUUUAUUAAAGAGUAUAUAAAAUUCUAGUUUGUCUAGCAAUUCCUUCAUUCUUCAAAUAAACAUCAAAUUGCUUAGACAUGUACUCACCUCCAUUAUGUAUACGCAACAUCUUGAUCUUGCAUUCACUUUGUUUCUCAACAAGUGUUUUAAACUCCUUAAACUUCCAAAAGCAUUCACUUUUGGCUUUAAGAAUGUAGAUCCAAAUCUUUCUUGAAUAAUCAUCAAUGAAAGUGAAAAAAUACCUUGAUCCUCCAAUACUUGUAUUCUUUAUAGGUCUACAUAUAUCCAAAUAGACCAUCUCUAGCAACUUUAUCACAUGUUGCUACACUCCUUAAAAAUGAGGCCUUUUGUUGUUUGCCUUGUAUGCAUCCUUGACAUGCAAGUUGUUUUGUAUUUUGGCUUAUAUUGCCAAGAUCUAAGCCACUUACCAUAGACUUGAGCUCUCUCAUGAUCUUUACAUUCAAAUGGCUAAGGUGACGAUGCCAUAUAUUCAACUUGACUUGAUUUGAUGUAAACUCAAUAAAUGCGGCUACAUCUAUUCCAUUAACCUUUUUACAAAUGAGGUAGUAAAAAUUUCCCUCUCUAAAGCCUUUGAAGACCUUGUCUCUACUCAAUGUUCUUAUAAAACAUCUAUUCAUAUCAAAUUGAAUUUUGAAACCUUUAAUUAUAAGUUUAUUUACCAAAAGUAGGUUUUGCUUCAUCUUAGGUACAUGAAGGAUGUUUUUGAAUCUGAUCCUAUUGGUUUGUCCAUUCACAACCACGUCCACUAUAAUAGAGCCAAUUCCAAUGGCUUCACAUAUGCCACUAUCUGCCAAUACCACGUUCGAUGCUAGAAUAGCGUCAUUAGUGUCAAAUGAAUACUUAUAAGUUGCCAUAUGCUUGAAACAACUUGAAUCCACAAUCCAUCUUGAUAUGGCAGCCAUAGAGGUCCUAUUUGUUGCUAUGAAUGCAUAAUCUUAUCUUUCAAACUCAUCUUGCAUACUAUUUACAUUCUCCUUCUUCAUCAUUUUGCCUUUGUAACAAUUUCGAACAAAAUGGUCUACUUUGCCACAAAUGAAUCAGAUUUGACAUUACCUUGUUGAUUUGGAUAGUUGUCCUUGCCUUGACGUGAGAAAAAUAUUGAAUCUUCACUUUGAAACUCCUUUUCUUUCUUCUCGGAUAUUUCAUAGGCAAGUCUUGUCGUCACAUAGUCCAUUGUAAGUUCUUUUAGCUUAAUAGACUCCAAUGCCAUAACAAAGUAGUUGUAGGAUUUGGAAAGGCUCAUCAGCAAGGUCGUGACAAUAUCACUUUUUUUUAAAGGCUUGUCAACAAUUGCUAGUUGGUUUACAAGAGCCUUUAUCUUACUGACAUGAGCCAUGAGGUCUUCACCUUCUUCCAUCUUGCAAGUGAAGAACUUCCUCCUUGUAUAGAUGAUAUUCAAUAUAAGUUCUUGCUCUCAUAGAUGUUGCAAAGAAUCUUCCAUGCUUCUAUUGGUCAUUUGCAAGAGAUAAUGUGGAAGAAGUUGGCUUCAUCUAUAUUAGUUGCAAUCAAUCCAAAAACCUUCUUUUCACGACAUUUGAACUCAUUCUUCUCCUUCAUAUCAGCAUCUAUACUUAGAGCCUCUUCACUUUCAUCUAUAAUAUCCCAAAGAUCCAAAGAUGCCAACAAAAGCUCCAUUUUUACCUUCCAAUGGUAGAAAUUCUCACUUCUAAACUUUUCAAUUACUCUCAAUCCUUCAUCCUCACUUGAAGCCAUGUCUAAAGAAGAGUUGUAUCAAAAAAGAUUGUAAGAAAAAGUCCUAAUGCUCUCAAAAUCAGCAAGAAGAUUUUGUUGCUUUAGAAUCACAGAAUCCUUCUUUAUGAAAAAACUAGUGUUUUUACUCUCAAAAACAUUCUCAACUUCACUUCUAAGACUUCUCUCAAGUCUGAUGACCUAUCUAAGUGUCUCAAAUCUGAUUUUCCACUCAAAAAUCACUCUUAUGUUCACAAAUCACCUCUAUACACCAUAAGAGGCCUUUUAAGCAAAAUCAGCAUCUUUACGACAUGAAACUACAAAGUUAGACCACCAUGGAUCUAUUUCAGUAAUAGCACAAUGCAAGUUUUUUAUAUCUUUGCCUUAAGGUGGAAAACCAAACACCAACACCAAAAAUGCUCUUAACCUCAAGUAAAAGCAAACCAAGAUAUAGAUCUACAUCUGAAUAUGAAAGUUAGAUACUUCUAAAUCCUAACAUCAACAACAACAACUUGAUCUACUCCACACAUCAACAACCACUUCAAAAAACUUCAAAACACUCAAGCAAAUGUAAGUGGAUUCAUAACCUAUUGAAAAAAAGAAGUCUAAAAGCUACAAAUACUUAGCAUCAGCAAGGAUUGUAGUCUAAGAGAAGUAUGGAGAAAGAUAAUUCUUACUUCCAAUUCUUUUUACUUAUAAGUAGUGGUUUCCUUACCAACGAGGCAACUUCCAUGCUUUUGAUAUUACAUCCAUUUCUACUUCAUCUAAUUAAACCCUAGAUACCACUGUAAUAACUUCCUUUAAUUCUUUGCUACUUUUUGACUAUUAGCAACAUAUUAUGCUUAAUCUCUAAGUGGUUGUAACUAAGCAAGUACUUGCUGAUCUUCAACAAUAUUUACACAAAGAUACCAGAUUGUAUGAAGUCUAAACUUGAUACAAAAGGUAUAUAAUAUAUAUUUGUUGGAUAUUAGAAAUGUAUUAUAGCAUAUAUACUAAUAUAUUUGGAUAUUAUGAAGAUCAUUAAAAGUUGUGAUGCUGAGCUUUUGGAGUACUAAAAGUUCUUAUAAGGACUUAAAGAUGUACUCAAAUGAGAGUAAUGGUGUGUUUGUAGAUAAAUCUUUAAAUUUAGCAAAGAAAUAAAAAAAUAAAGACAAUAAAGAUAGUGGAUGUAAGAAAUGAAGUGAAGAAUUAAAAAAAAUAAAAAAGGCUUUUAUAAUUUUUAGAAUCAAUAAUAAAGAUAAUUAAGAUAUUUAAGAUGAUAAUGAUAAAGAGUAUUAAUAUUUUUUUGAAAAAAAAAUCUUUAAGAGAAAAAAAGCUUAGAAGAAAUUAUAAAAUGUAACAAAGAGAAUUUUCUUUAAAUGAAAAAAAAAAUUACAAAAAAAAAAAAAAAAAAAAAAAAAAAAAAAUUAUAAAUAAUAGAAGAAUUACAUCUUUUUCCAAUUAAGUAAAGAAUAUGCUAAUGUUUUACUUUUUGUUGAUAUGUUUAGUUUUUAUGAUGUAAUAAAGUGCCACAGACAAAUGUAUAUAAAUUAAUAAGUACCUAUAUAAAUAAGUAGAAGUAAGUAGAAGUAGAUAAAAAUAAAUUAAUUUUAUAAUAUCUUCUAUAGAAGCUUUCUAGAAGCUUCAUAGAUAUUUCUUUGAAUUUAUAAUUAUCUUUAAUUGACUUUUUGGGUUAGAAAUGCGGUCAACAAGUUGGCCAAGUACCACACAUAUUGUUAGCUUGAAGACCAAGGUAAUUAUGUGGCCUACGCAUAAAAAACUUGCCUUAUAAGUCAAGGCAAGUGUCCUACAAAGUCAACACAUAUUGAGAGUCCUAUAGAACAUCGCCACAUAGCCCCUAGUUAGAUAAUAUAUAUAGAGACAAGAGUGAAGCCCUCUUCACUCUUAUCAGUUCUUUUCUUGCUUCUAGUCUAGUUUCAAGAGUCUCAAGUUUUCUUGUCUUUUGACAAUGAGCCAUUCUAGUUUCUUUAAAAUAUAUGUACUUCUUUAUUUCUAUUUUUUCACUUUUUCUUUGAUACAGAUUUCAUUGAUUUAUAUAUCAUUUUUUAGUUCAUAUCCUUGACAUAAAGUCCACAAAUGCUAUAAAGUAGAAAAAGACUACUAAAAAUAAAAGUAAUUACUUAUAGAUAAUAAAAUAUAGAAAUUGACUUAGCGUCUAUCAAAUCAAUUUUUAAUUGAUUUUAAAAGACUGUCUAAAAUAAAAAAAAAUAUAAUAAAUAACUUUAUAAGAUAUAAAAAAAAGAAUGAUUGCCAAAAGCUACUUACAAGUUUUUGAUGUUGAUUUUAUUGAGAUAUAUGCUUUAGUAGUUAAAUUCACUUCCAAUGAAAUUAUUAUAAUAAUUCAAGCAAUAAUAGAAUUAGAGAUGCAUCAAAUCAAUGUGAAGUCAAAUUUCUUAAAUAAAAAGUUAAAAAAAGAUAUCUAUGUGAAUCAAAUUUAAGACUUUGUUGAAGAAAGAUAAUAAUUAUUUAUUUUAAAAUUAAAAAAAAAAUCUUGUAUAAUCUUAAACAAUAAUUAAAUAUAUGGUACUAAUACAUUGAUACAUUUUUUGUAAAUAAAAGAUUUGUUAGAAGUGAAACUGAUUAUUCUUUGUAUGUAAUACAAUCAAAAUAGUUCUUGUUGGUUGUUAUUUUUUUUUUGUUGAUGAUUUAAUCAUCUUAAUCAAUAUUUUGAAGAAGAUAAAUUAAUUAAAAAUAAAAUUAAAAAAAAGAAUCUAAGAUGAGUGAUUUAGAAGGGCCAUUAUUACUUAAGAAUGGAAUUCAUAAGAGAUUAUUGAAAGAAGACUAUUACAAUAAGCCAAAGCAAGUAUAAUAAAGUAGUUUUGAAAUAAUUAAAUGUAAAAGAGUGCAAGUUCAUUGGAAUAACUUUAGAAGCCUACCUAAAGUUGAUGAAGCUUACAAAUAAAGAAUUUGUUAAAGUUAAAGGUUAAAUACAAGAUAUUCUAUACAAGGAAGCAAUAGACUCACUUAUUUAUGCAUUGGUUGGCACAAAGAUGGAUCUUACAUAUGCAAUGAGUCUUAUGAGUCAAAAAUUGAGCCAAUUAAUUGAAAAACUAUAAAAUAAAAUCAUGAGGUACUUAAAAGAUAUUUUGCACUCCAAAUUAUGUUUUAAAAGUGAUAGCAUUGCAUUGUAUAGAAAUUAUGAUGCAAAUUAAAUUGAAGAUAUUAAUAAUUGAAGGUCAAUAAGAAACUAUUUAUUUUUUUAGAGUGAAAAAAAUAUCAUAAAAUUACAAGAGAAAACUAAUAAUCGCAAGGCCUUCUUUACUCUUCUCAAUAUUUUUUUUGUUCUUAGUUUUGUUUUAAAAAAUUCUUGUUUUUUUUGUCUUUGGCAAUAACUAUUCUAGUUUAAUAUUAUACCAUCUUUGAGUGAUUAUCUAGUCUUUUUGAAUGACUUAGAGAUGUAUUUAUUUUUUGGUUUUUUGAAAUUUAUAUCCUUGAUAAAAAUAGAUGCUAAGUACAUAGUAAUAAGACUAAUGUAAUGGAAUUUUUUUAGCUUAGAUAAGUUUUCAAAGACAUAAAACUUAUGCAAUUAGAAGAAAUUAUAAUCAAAUGUAAUAAUUUAAGAUUCUUUAUUUUUAAAAAGAAUCUAAAACAUCAUUCAAGAACAAAACAUGUAGACUUUUAACAUUACUUUAUUUGAAAGAAGAUUGAAAUAUAUGUGAUUCACAUGAAGUAUUGUGCAACAAAAGAUAUACUUGUUCAUUUUCUUGUAAAAAUAUUAGUAAAGGAUAACUAUCACAUAUUAACAAAGAUAUUUGGUUUAAAAGCCUUUAACUAAUAAUAAAGUGAAAAUAUUAAAAUAAGUUAAAAUAAGACUAAAGUAAAUUAUCACAUACAGAUAUUAUCUUAUAUAAAUUAUUAAUGGUUAAAAUGAUAGUAUGUGAAAGGACCAUAUUAUAGAUUAGCUAUAAUGUUAAGGACCAAAAGAUAAGAUUAAGAGUAUAAAAGAUCUAUUAGAAAAUAUCCAAUAGAUAAAUAAGAACAUAAAAUAUAUAUUAAAGAAUAUCCUUGUAAUAGGUGAGAUUUCAAAGGAUAUAAUAGCUAUAUUUUUUGAUAAAUGUGGAACUGAAGAGAUAGAAGUUGUUUAUUAUAGCAUGAACGACAAUUUAUAAAUAAAGAAUAUUAAAAGUAAAAGUUAUCUCACUUCAAACUUUUUUUUGUGUGCAACCUUGAUGAUGUUAAUUUUUGUGACUUCUAACUUCUUUCUAUAUAUACCAAAUUGCUAGUACCAUAAUAAAAUAAAAAUCUAUUACAAAUUUUAUAAGUAGUAAUUGAAUUUAGUAGUAGGUAGAAAAUGUGAUGACUUAAAUAAAGUUUUAUUAAAAAACUUUCAUGUAAAUAUAAAGAAAAUAAUUGUAAUACUUUUUAAAUUUGGUAUGGAAUAAAAAGAAAUUCAAUUAAUUUAUUUUUAUGAAUUUAGUUAGUUAUGGAAGAAUAAAAAAUAACAAUACAGUGUUUAUUUUUUUUCUAUGUUAGAACUUAGGUGUGUGCAAAAAUUUGAUGUUUUGGAAUGCUUUUGGUUUUUGUAAAAUAAAAAAAUUUUGUAUUUCAGAAAACUUUAUAAGAUUUGUAAUAUAUCUUCAAAUGAAAAUUUGUAAAUAUUUGAACAUAAUUGUAUUGAAUGUGCAUUAUAAAUAUGAACUUGAUUAGAUGAUUAAAUUUAAGAUCAUUAAAAUUUAAGUAGAUUGAGAUAUUAAAAAUUGGAUUUUAAGGGCUAAUAAAGGUUUCUAAGUUUUGCAACAAAUUUUCAAUUGGAUUGAAGUAAGGUUUAGUAGACUAAAAAAAAACUUGAUUUUUAACAAUUAUGAAAAAUUUAAGAAAAAUUGAAUAGUGCAAAUGAGAGAUGUUAGUGUUGAAAGAUUGGUAGUAAGAUUGGAAAAGAAAGUCAUUUAAUACUCAAAUGCAUUGUGAGCUUUUUUUAUUUCUUAAUUAGCAUGUUUAAUUUUCUUUAAAUUUGUUGAACUUAUUAUUAACUUAGAGAUUAAAAAGCAUGCAAAUUUAAAGUCAAGUUGAUAAUUAAAUUAUUGAUUAUUGAAGUUUUGAUUUUAUUAAAGACUUUGAUUAGGAUUUAAUUAAAAUUACCUUGGAUUGAAUUAAGAUUUGACAAGGAUUUAUUUAUGAUUUUGUUAAAUUUUUUAUAAGAUUGAUUAAGAUUUAAUUAGGAUUUUAUUGAAAUUUGGUUUGGAUUUAAGUAGGAUUUUAUUAGAAUUUAUUAAGAUUCAAUUAAGAUUUGAUUAGAAUUUCAUUAAAUUUUAUUAAAGAUUGUUUAGGAUUUACUUGUAAUUGAUUAGAGUGUUAUAAGAUAUAUCUAAGAUUUUUCUAAGGAUGAUAGGAUGUAUUCAAAAUAAUUGAGAGCUUACUUAAGUUAUUGAAGUACCAAAAGGUAUUUCUUAAUACUUUAUGUAAUUUUUUGGGUUAUAAAUCAAACUUCAAGGUACGAUAAAAACCCUUUAUAGCUAGAUGCCUAAUGCAUUUUUAAGUUUAUUUUGACAUAACACAAUAUCAUACAUGAAUUGAUAUGUUUUUUAUUCUUUCUAAGAAAUUUGUAUUAAUUUGCAAGCUUAAUAUUGGAGUACUUUCAAGACUUAUAAUAUCAAUUAAAGUAUUGAUUUUGUUUGUUGAUUCUUUUAUAUAUAAUUUCAUUUUUUAAUAUGUUGUGACGAUUUUAAUUUAUAUAAAAAAAAUCUAAAAAUUCCAAAAACAAAGAUAUUAUUAAUAUUUUUGGCAAUGUUUGAAAAUAAAGAAAUAAACUUAUAAGUAAUUAGGAACUUUAUAUGAUAGAAAGAUGCAUACAUAGACAAGUAAAAGAAACUUGGUGCAACAACAUCUAGUUAUAAAGAUAUAAUAUAAGCAUUAAAAAUUUAUCACAAGUAGAACAAUCAAACUAUAUAAAUGUUAAGGACAUGAAUUAUAAAAAAAUAAAACAUUGAUAUACUCUUGUGUCAUUUGAAAAGAAUAGAUAUUCACUUCAAAUUAGUCUAAUAUUAAAAGUAAAAUGGCUAUUAUCAAAAAUAAAAAGAUCAAAGAUUCUUAAAAUACGACUAAGGUCUAAAAAGGCAUUGAUAAGAGUGAAAAAGCUUCAAUCUUGCCUCUAUUUAUACUAUCUAUGUGGCAAUGUUCUAUAGGACCUCCAACAUGUUGAACUUAUAAAACAAGUUUCACAUAUGUGCUACAUGGCAAACUUCUAUCACAAGUGGCCAACAUGUGCAAUAUGUGACAAACUUAUUGGCCAAGUUUCUAACCUAUCAAUCACCUACAAAUACAUAUAAAGUCAAAUUGUAUCUAUAAAGCUUUUAAACAAGAUAUUAUCAAAUCUAUUUACUUCUAUCUAACUCCUCUAAUCUAUAUAAAUAUGUAUAUCCGUGAUAGUAGAUAUAAAACAAUAAUUUAGAAGAAAUAAAUAAAAACCAAUGUAGUGACUAAUAAGUUUUAAGAAAAUAAUUAAAUAUUAUAUUAUUAUUAGAUAUUAAUUCAACUAUAUUUCAAAUACUUGCUUUAAAUUUGAUAGUAGCUAAGUUCUUAUUACUCUCAAAUCUUUAAGUUCUUUCAUGGAUUACAAAGUGGUAUUGGCUUAAUUAUAGUUUAAUCCUUAAGAAUGGAGGCUUUUAAAGAAUAUCUAUCUAUAGAACAUUAUUUGUAAGAAAAAUACAAAAGAAACUUCAUAAAAUUAGUGCACAUAUAAAAUAACUUUAAUUAAUACCAAAAUUUAAACUACAACCAUAUAAGUGAUUGUAUGCAUAGUAAGAAAGCAUUAUAGUUUAAAAAUAUCCUAUUUUUGAAAGAUAAAAUGGUAGUCAUGCAAACUACAAUAUCAUCUAAUUAAAAUUACUUUAAAAAUGACAUUAGUGCAUAAAAUGACAUUGUUGCAACUAACUGAAAUACUAAAAACACUACAAAGACAUACUUGAAAUUUGCUAAAUACACUAAUUAAUUAACCUUUCAAAUUAUCUCUCCAUCUCCUUAUUACCUCCUACUUUAUUUGAUAUAAACUUUGGGAUUGAUUCGAUUAAGUCAAAUCCAAUAAUCUAAAUAGAAAAUUGAGGUGCACCAAAUCUAUAGUUGUAUUCAACUUUUGGUAUCAUAUAUUUUAUCAUAUAUGGAUUCUUCAUUAUGUUGAUCUAAAAUGGGAUCCAUUAAAAAUCACAACAUUGGCACAACUCAAUUUCUUAUCCAUAUGUAUUUUUUCAUCCAAUUCUUUCUAAUUCUCAUCCAUGAUCUUGAAUGAAAGAACCAAUUGGAUGAGAAUAGGAUGAAAUAUUAUUCAUCCAAUUGAGAUAUCUCAUCCAAUCUUCAUCUAAUCUUCAUCCAAUUUAGACAUUCUUCAUCCAAUUGGAUGAAGAAUAUAUGAGUUGGAUGAGAAUCGGAAUAUACCUAUGAACGGAAACCAUUUAUUUAUUUAUUUUUAAUUUCUCCCAUCAAAACUCCCCGAUCUCGGUUAUGGAUUGGUUAGGAUCAUUCUGUGAAUCCCCCACGGUUUGUCCGAGUCUAGUGAACUCCAUACCGCGCGUACCCCAGGAGGCGGACAGUGGGGAACUCUGGCACGGGCGUUGGGAACAUGAACGACGAAGGACCUGGGAGGCCAUGGCGCCGCAGGACAGGAGCGGCGAUGGCCUUGGCUGGCUGCUAUACAUGUCCUUGCGAGCAUGCUCCGAAUCCAAGUCGAUUGAAUUCCCUAACCUACUGACACUGUAAGUAUCCAUGUUGCUUGCAGUGUUUCAAUCAGUUGAAUAAUUCGUCUGCAAUAACUCUAAUUACAUAUAUAUAUAUAUAUAUAGAUAUGUGUUGUGUCUAGAUUUUGCUUUGUGGUCGUCACCUUGUGAUGGAGCUACACACACUUGGUGGGUAUACAAGCUGAUUGAUCCACGUCAAGGCAGGAUGUCGGUCUCAAAUUUUGCCUUGGUUUGACUGAAGUGUGGAUGCGAUGAGUCGUUUUGAAUUUGAGGAAGCCAUGAGAGGUGUCUGAAUUUCAUAUGGUCCUAGAUGGGUAGGUUGAGAUUCAUAUGGUCCUAGAUGUGUAGCUAGAAAUCAAGUUAAAUUACGUGCGAGUUUGAGCUGUUUAUUAAAAUUCCAAAGCGUGGGUGGCCUUCUAAAGCAGUGGAUUGUUUUAAUUGUUGGGGGUGUUUGCUUGAUGUAUGGAUACAGGUUUUAGGGUUUGAGGGUAGAUUCUGCAAAGCUGCAAAGUUAUUGUUGCAUCGAAGACAUGGGUGGGGAUAUUAAAUCGCCUCUCAGUGGUGACGUGCGUGAAUCUUUGGAGGCCUUGGAACUGGAGGAGGGAGAUGAUGGAGCAGUACAGAGCAGCGGGGCAGCCCUGGAUGCUGUGAGUCUUCACUUUCUUCUGCAAUUCAUGGUUCAACGCAGAUGACACUCAAUUAGGGUUAUGGAUUGAUAAUCUGGUGGCUGAUAUUCAGGACGGAGUAGCAGUGGCACAGCAGAAAAAGAAGAAGAAGAAGAAAAACAAGAAGACUGGUAAUGGUGCAGUAAGCGCAGUUGAUGUUCCAGAAGCUGCUGCCAAUGUUACCAGCGGUAAUGGGACAGUUGAGGCCUGUCUAGGCCAUGAUGAAGAAAAUGAAAUCGAGGCCGAAGUUGACGGUAAGAGUCUGCUCAUUUCCUACACGGAUAGAGCUGGUUAUAUGUAAUCAUGGGAAUGUAUUUUUUUCCAUCAUGAUGUAAGUAAUAUUUGAGCUGUGAAAGAUUUAGGGUUGUGAAGCCGGUGUCUUGUCUGUGCAGAGGCGUCAAAGAAGAAAAAGAAGAAGCCCAAGAGCAAGUGAGUAUCCAACUGAAGCUUUUGCUUAGUUUGCCGCUAAGGCAUUCUAUGGAGUGUGAUAGUACCCCCUGUUGCAUGAAUUGAAAUGGUGUGUAUGUUGCUUUUGGGUGCUUUUCAAGACGUUAUUAUUACCCAUCAUCUUGGUGUGUGCACUUUAGCUCUCUCUGCUGACAUAAGACAUGCAGGAAGAAGAAUUCUGUGCUGGAGCAAACCGAUCCUCCAUCUAUUCCUGUGAAGGAUCUGUUUCCUUCAGGAGAUUUUCCAGAGGGCGAAAUCCAGCAGUACAAGGAUGAGUGAGUAUCUCGAUCUUCUGUUGGGUGUGUGCAUGACUUAUUGACUGCUUUUGUAUUAGAAAUGGAAUAAAUGAAAUUGACUUGCAGUAUUCUUUUGAAACUCUGAAGUUUUUACGCUCCUCUCAUCGUGUAUGAGAACCUCAUCCCUAGAGUUUGCUUCUUGUCCUUCGUCUACGGUUGCCUUCUGCACACCGUGGACGUACAUCCAUUGAUUAUCUAAUCUAUGGAUGGGCAUGCGGAGUUCCUGCAGUAAUUUGUGGAGGACAACUUCAGAAGAGAAGCGGGAGCAAGAGAGGUUGGAAAAACCAUUGUAUAAUGCCAUCCGUCAGGCUGCCGAAGUGCACCGUCAGGUUAACCGUCUCUUAGAUUUCAUUCCAUCUCAUUGAUUUCUUGAGAACAUAUUUAUUGAGUUCAUGCAUGCAGUGAAAUGAUCAGCUUGAUGAGGAGGUUCUGAAGUGUUUUCUUAAAGAGUUUCCAUUCUGCUUGGAUUUGUUCACUGUUUCAAGGUGUAUUCUUUUUUUAAGAGAGUAAUCAAAGGUUGCGAAAUAUAAUCCAAGGACCUAUUGGGGUACCCUUGCAGCACAAGUGAAUUUGGGCACUCUCCAGAGAAAGUCUCUCACAGCAGUUGGUGUUCUGAUGUGCAGGUGCGGAAGUACAUCAGAACGUACGCCAAACCAGGGGUAGCCAUGGUGGAUUUGUGCGAGACUUUGGAGAACAUGGUGCGAAGGCUUAUUUCGGAGAACGGGCUGAAGGCCGGCAUCGCCUUUCCUACGGGUUGCUCCUUGAAUUGGUACCAGAGAAGUGAAACGCUGACCUCCGUGAAUCAUGCUGUAUUACGAACAGUCGUGAGUUGCCCUGUGGUGGUGUGUGUGGUAAGGCGUAGAGUGGGCAAUGGUGAUGUGUGUGUUUACGGGGAGUGUUGGCGUUGGGUGUGGUCCUGGUAGGGUGGCAGCACAUUGGACUCCCAACUCCGGAGAUAAAACAGUGCUCCAGUACGACGAUGUGAUGAAGUUGGAUUUCGGGACACACAUAGAAGGUGAGUGAUAAGCUGGUUUGGGGAGAUGGGUGUUGGGACGUGUCACGUAAUGUGGAUGUGAAAGUGCGAUGGUAUGGUUGAGGGGUGAUGGUGAGAUAGUGAGGCGGGGUAUGAAUGAGUUGACGCGGCGAGAAGAAGCUCCCGGUGAAGCAGGCAUGGAUGGUCGUUGUAUGGAAAGAUACAGUGAAGUGUGAAUCGUGGAGAAGCGAAAGCUAAUACCUGUGCUAGGUGCAGGUUUGGUGGUUGAUGAGCAGUGCAGGUGAAGGGUUGUCUUUGUGGAGUUGCGAUGUGGAGGUGUUUUUUGCAAUGGGAGUGUAGGGUUGAGGCAUUUUGGGGAAGGUUUUGGGUUGCAUGGUGCGUGGCGAGUGUGGUUUGAAUGAGAAUGUGAAGAGUGGGGUGGUUGUUGUGGUGGUGAACUCAGGGCGGAUCGUUGACUGCGCGUUUACGGUGGCAUUUAAUCCACAGUUCGAUCCUCUGCUGGAAGCGUCACGAGAGGCCACAAACACUGGAAUCCGGGUACUGCUCUGGACGAGGGUGUUUUGGGAUUGGGUGCAGUGAAGGAGCAUGCGUUGGUUGGUCGGUGGUGAGGUGUGGAUACAGGAUAGGUUUGGUAGGUUGAAAUGGAUUGGCAUGUUGAUGCGGAGGAUAGGUUGGUUGUAUGUGUGUUUUGGGACGCGAGGCCGUGUGAUCUGAGGGAAGGAAGUACUUGUGGGUGAACAGGAAGCUGGAAUCGACGUUCGGCUUGGUGACAUCGGGGCCGCCAUUCAGGAGACGCUAGAGUCUUAUGAGGUUGAGAUCGGAGGGAAGACAUUCCAAAGUAAGUGAUGGGACGGUUUUGUGGGUGGUGACGAUGGCAUGGUUGUGGUUGUAGGUGGAUUGUGGCGUGGAAUGAGGGUAGUGUGAGGGUUGACGUGAUUGUGGGUGGGUUGGGGUAUUUGGGAUAGAUCCGCAAGCGUGGAAAGCAAUAGGGAGAGCGUGGAGGUUGGAUUGUUGUGAUGGUUUGGUUGGUAGGUGGGCAGUUGAUGAGGUUGGGCGUGGUUGGGGUGGAAUGGUGGAUGACAGUCAAGAGCGUGAGGAAUUUGAACGGUCACAGCAUCGGACCGUAUCAAAUUCACGGUGGCAAGUCGGUUCCUAUCGUGAAAGGAGGGGAACAGACGAGAAUGGAGGAAGGGGAGUUUUAUGCGAUCGAGACGUUCGCAUCCACGGGUAAGAGUCGGGGAUGAUAGAUUGCAGAUUUGGGUGGUUGUGGAAAGGAGGGUAGGUGGAUGGGAGAGUUGGAGAGACGUAGAGUGGAAGGUGUUUGGGAGAGGAAUGAUGGGAUGGGGGUUGGUGGCGCAGGGAAAGGGUACAUCAGGGAAGACCUGGAGUGCAGUCACUACAUGAAGAACUUCGAUGUGGGUCAUGUGCCUCUGCGGUUACCGGCUGCAAAGAAGCUGUUGGCAACAAUCGACAAGAACUUUUCAACGCUAGCGUUUUGCCGGCGUUAUCUUGACC
rnacentral:lncRNA from 1 species